GAAGGUUAGUAACAUCUGAAAGUUUGGAAGCUCCAUUAUGGAACAUUCGCUUGGUCACAUCGACCUUGUAGGUCCUUCCCAUAGCCUCCAGCCACAAAACUAGUUACUCAUUGGUGGGAAAUUCUUGGUGGGACUAGAAAUGAAGUUUUGCCUCUCUUGUGCUGCUGGAGUCCUCUUUCUAUCCAAGAGUAUGGGCUCUGGCUUCUGUGGGUUUUUUAUUUGCUUGUUUGGUUUUUUUCUUUGUUUGUUUUCUGCCAUUUCUACUGUUUAAUCAGAAAUUCUUUUUAAGCAUUUAUUAAUAGCAUCAUUUAGUUUCUAAUGGAGUCUCUUAUACUAUUGCUGCCUCCUCCAUAUUUUCAUGCAUGCCAGUCCGACUUUUUUUUAGCAGCUUUAUUGAGAUAUAAUUGAUAUUUUUAAAACUGCACAUAUUCAAUGUAUACAGUUUUGUGGGUUUCAACAUACAUGCACACUUGUGAAACCAUGACCACAGUCAAGAUAAUAAGCAUUUCUAUCACCACCAAAAGUUUUUUUCCUGUAAGGGCUCUGGUGGAGGAAAGCUUUUAUGGCAACAACAACAACAACAGCAACAGCAACAGCAGCAAUAAUAAUAAUAAUAAUAAUAAUAUUUAUUGUGUACUAGCUUGGGACCAGUGAGUGAGUGUUAUAUACUAUUAUUAGCCUCAUUUUCCUGAUAAAAAAAAUCUGAAGCUUAGGCAGGGCAAGGCGUCUUUCUAGAGCCACUAGCUACAAAAUAACAAAGGAAAGAAGAUCUGAACCCAGGUCAUCUUCCCUUUAAUAAUUAUUCUACAUAAAAUUGCCCUGUUCUUCUGACCUUGCCUUUGAUACUGAGUAUGAACACACCAACUAGGAAGAAUUCUCCUACACAAGCUCCUGGACAUUUUAAGAGGGAGAGAGAGUAUAAUUUUUUCCUAAGUAAUCAUUUUUAUACCCCUCACCUCAUGAUUCAUUGAAGAAAGGGUACAAAAUUCAGCAAAUUACCAGAAAGAACCAAUGAAAGAAAGAACAAAAGCAAGCAAGCAAGCAAGCAAGCAAGAAAAAUGUCAACACUAGACUACUACUAAUAUUUUGAGAUUUUUUUCCUGUGGUAUUUCUCUAAGGCAUAAUGUUGAAGCACAAAGACCCAAGGAAAAAUGUAAGAACUUGAACCUUUACUUGAAACUCAAGUAGCUUCUCUACCCUGGCGGAGCGAGUAUAGCUUGUUUAGGAAUUCCAAUGGAGGCAAAGGUCCAUAGGUUAUAGGACUAAGAUUAGAAGACGUGUGUGAAAUAGAAAAACAAUGAGGUCUCUGGAUUUAGAAGUUCUGCAAGCUGGUUUCAUCUGGCUCAGGACCGUGGGCGGUUGCAGGUGCUGAAAGACACGUGUGACUCUGGAAUGCAGGUGCUGGACCUAGAGUGUGCUUCAGUCUCAGAGUCUCUUCCUAGGAUCUUCACUGUCUGACAGUUCUGAUUAAGUCACUUAGGGAAAGCCAGUGGAUACAGUUGCGGUUCUGUCAGUGACAGAGGGAAUCAUAAUUCAGAGAAAGUUUGAAAGAGUACAGUUAGAAAGACAAGAGUCAAGAUAGGAUAGAACGUCAUGACCUACUUGAUGAUACGUCAUUGGCAUCCAGCCCUUUAACAAUUGUCAUUAGCAACAUGGUGUGGCGGUAGAUGGAGAUAAGGACUAGUAGGAUUGGCUGGUUUUUUGUUAUGUAUUUUGCUCAAUAUCUCUUCUUUUACACUCCGGUGUAGACCUUUUUAUUUUUAUUUUACUUUAAUUUUUUUAACAUUUAUUCAUUUAAAAAAAUUUUUUUUUCAACGUUUAUUUAUUUUUGGGACAGAGAGAGGCAGAGCAUGAACGGGGAGGGGCAGAGAGAGAGGGAGACACAGAAUCGGAAACAGGCUCCAGGCUCUGAGCCAUCAGCCCAGAGCCUGACGCGGGGCUCGAACUCACGGACUGCGAGAUCGUGACCUGUCUGAAGUCGGACGCUUAACUGACUGCGCCACCCAGGCGCCCCAAACAUUUAUUCAUUUUUAAGAGACAGAGCACAAGCAGGAGUGGGGCAGAGAGAGAGAGGGAGACACAGAAUCCGAAGCAGGCUCCAGGCUCCAAGCUGUUGGCACAGAGCCCGACGCGGGGCUCGAACUCAUGAACCUCGAGAUCAUGACCUGAGCUGAAGUUGGACGCUUAACCGACCAAGCCCCCAGGUGCCCCUGGUGUAGACCUUUUUAGACAGAUAAUUUUGACAUCUGAUUAUCUUCUACAAUUUGUGUUAAGACUUUCUUGUGAAAGAACAAUCUGUUUCUUAAUUUUUCUGCAAAUAUAAAUUUAAUUUCACCUAAAAACAAUUCUUCUGAGGUCUUUUGUUUCUACCACUAUCAUAAAAUUUGUGCAAGAUUCCAAGAAAGCAUGCAGCUUUAUUCUAACCUCAGAAGAUGUAUUAAGGAUGCAAGACAAAGAAACAUAGAACAAAUAAUAAUAGAAGGUGUUAUAGGUCUCAAAAUUAUAAGGGAUGGUUGUGUUGGAGAUAAGAGACACCCAUUCCUUAGGACAUUCCAUUUGAUGGCCCAUGGUAUAUGGAUUUCAAACUGUAGGUCUCAAGUUUUUAGUGGGUUGCAAAAAUUAAUUAAGUUGAUUAUGUCCACCAUUUACAAACUACAGUAGAAAAUAUCAAAGUGCACUACGUGUCAGAAGGUUGUGCAUGUCAUGGACUUAUUUUUCAUUUAUAAACAAACACACACAUGCACAAGUGUAUGUGAUGGGUUUCUUUAUAAUAUGUAUUCCUUCUCAUGGAUUCAAUCAAGCAAGUUUCAAAGAUGCUCCAUUAGCCAAAGUAAUCCACAAACUAGAUCUUUGUAGCUAUCAUGUAUCAAAAGCCUAAAAAUUUCCAGGGCCAUUAGUAAUAAUGCUUAAAAAAACUUCUCAGGAAAUCACAAUAACAACACUCCUAGGGCAUGAGUCAGCCAGAGGACCGUCUUCAUAACAGCUAGCAUUUCUUGAGCACUGCUCAUGUGUUGGGCAUUGUGCUAAAUAUUUUUCAUACAGUAUCUAAUUUACUUCUCAUAGCAAUGCUAUGAGGAGGCUAUUGUUCUUAUUUUUCAGAUGAUAAGCUGAGGUUUCAAGAUGUAGAGUAACUUGGUCCUCGUCACUCAGCUAGUAGAACUCAAUCCCAUGCCUGUCUGCCUCCUCCGGAGACAAGGCAUUUCACUACCAUACUACAUUAUUUUUCAAGAACGAAUCCCUCGUGGAAAGCUAUACGAUUUGCAAAACUUCUUUUUGCUGUCUGACUCUUUUGCAAUGUUUUUCAGUUAGCGCUAGGAUAACUCAACCCCUUUUGAUCCUUACAGAAGGCUCCUAAAGGGCGUUUCUAUGGUUAUGGGUGUGUAGGGUGGGGUGCUGUUGGGGGACGUUGAUUCCCACUCUGAUUCUACACAACCUGUUCCGUCCUUGUACAGACUCUGUCCUAACAGGCCCAAAGUCUCAGAUUGUAAGGUAAGCCCUAGAAGGGAUGGGAAGGGAUGUGAAGUUGGGCAGCAUGUCGAGUGGGAGGCUGAAAAGAGGAGACACACUGGCGAUAAAGAUGGUGAGAGCUGGGGUGCCUGGGUGGCUCAGUCAGUUAAACAUCCCACUCUUGGUUUUGGCUCAGGUCGUGAUCUCACAGUUCAUGAGUUCAGGCCCUUAGUCGGGCUCUGUGCUGACAUCACGGAUCCUGCCUGGGAUUCUCUCUCUCCCUCUCUCUCUCUCUGUCCCUCCCAUGAGCACUUUCUCUCUCAAAAUAAAUAAACUUAAAAUAAAAAAAAAAAGAUGGUGACAGCUGUGGGCCAGCAAGAUGAGAACCCUCUUCCAUCUCCUCUUUGGAAUCUUCAGGAACAUCGUCAACCUAAUGCAUUGUAAGGUUGAGUCUUUAUUUGAGUAUAUAAAGAAGCAAAUUAGUACAGUGUGAACACAGGUCUCCUCACCAUGAGACAGUCAGUAUGUAUUCUCUUCCUUUUCUCCCUUUCCCUUUUUUCCUUCCUCCUUCCCCUGCCCUCCUUCUGUCCCCUCCCUCCUCUCUCUCUCCCUCUCUCACUCAUUUACUCACAUGCAUUGUAUAUAUUUAUGGACAAAUUUUCCUUGUAUAGAUAUGUAAUAUAUGACAAAACAUACCAAAAUCUUAACAGUUUUUACUUCUUCAUGGUAGGAUUACCAAUCCUUUUUAUUUUUAAUUUUUAAUAUUUUUUGUAUUUUUUAAACUUGUGUGAGGAUCAUUAAUUUUGUCUCCAGAAAAAAAUGAAAGUAAAUAGCUCUUUAUCAGUCAUUUCAUCUUAGACUGUUUUUUUUUAAGUUUAUUUAUUUAUUUUGAGAGAGAGUGAGCAAGUGAGCACGUGAGCUGGGGAGAGGCAGAGAGAGAGGUAGAGAGAGAGUCCCAAGCAGGAUCCAAGCUUUCAGCACAGAGCCCGAUGCAGGGCUUAAUCUCAGGAACCCCGAGAUCACGACCUGAUCUCACAAACCGUGAGGUCAUGACAUGAGCCGAGAUCAAGAGUCAGGUGUUGACUCUUAACUGACUUAACUCUCUUAACUGACUGAGCCAUCCAGACACCCCAUCGUUUUAGAGUUUUAGAGGGAGAAGAAAGGGAGAAAGACUUGUGAGGGCACCCGGUAUUUGAAAGGAGCUAAAUGGGGGUGCUAGAAGGAAAACCAGAGGUCCCAAAUCUUCCCAUAUUUCACUGUCACUGAGGGAUGAUUGGUUAAGGGCAUUAGAAAAGCAUAAAUAUAGCAUCUAUUUCCUCUCUGAAAUCCCUGGAGGGAAAGGCGUGGGUGUAGGAGUGCGGGGUUGAUGAGGCAGUUUGGUUUCCCACGUUCUGUGCUCCCACAGAGCAAAGAGAUUACUUUAAACAUGAGAAGGUGGGGAAACGGAUAUUGAACACGGGCUUCUGCAUUUUUGCUUUACCUUCCUUUAAAAUACUAUUAUCAUAUUUCAAUGUCCCCCUGCCUGUGCUGGUUUCAGACAGUCUGAUUUCUCUAAAUCUCAAAUUGCCAUUUUAUAGAGGGUUUGUUUCAUGUAUGUUUUUUUUAUUUUAUUUAUAUUCUUAUUUUUUUAGCAGUGGUGAAAAUAUUAAAUGAAGAGAAAUGAGGAGAGAAAGAGAGAAUAGACAAAAGGUCUGAGGUCCUUCAUCCAGGGCAAGGAAUAUUUAGGAAGUGCUUACUUGACACUAUUCAGGGUAGCAGCAGAUCAAAGAAUAAGGUGGAAACCCUAUCCCUCAGGGGCACUGUCUAAUACAGCGUGUAUUGGGGUGCCUGGGUGGCUCCUUCGGUCAAGCGUCUGACUUCGGCUCGGGUCAUGAUCUCAUGGUUCGUGGGUUCGGGCCCCACAUCGGGCUCUAUGCUGACAGCUCAGAGCCUGGAGCCUGUUUCGGAUUCUGUGUCUCCCUCUCUCUCUGCCCCUCUCCCACUUGCUCUCUGUCUCUCUCAGUCUUUCAAAAAUAAAUAAAUGUUAAUACAGUGUGUAUUGUUCCAGCAGCACUUACAAUCACCUGGGGGGCUUUCGAUAAACACUGAUGCCAGAACCCCACCCAGACCAUUUGACCAGAAUCUUCAGGAGUAGGGUCAGAGCAACAGUAUUUUUUUAUUAUGCUUUUUAUUUCAAUUCCAGUAUAGUUAUCAUACAGUAUUAGAGUAGUUCCAGGUAUAUAAUACAGCGAUCAACAAUUUUAUACAUUACUUAGUGCUCAUCAUGAUAAGUGUGCUCUUAACCCCCACCACCUAUUUCACUCAUCGCCUCCCCCCGCCCCCACCUCCCCUCUGGCAAUCACUAGUUUGUUCUCUAUAGCCAAGAGUCCCUGGUGAGUCAUGACCGAGGAGGAAGAGAUCAAUUUUGGCUUGGGAGGGGAUGGAUGUCUCCUAAACGGAUCCCAGAAGAAGGAACACUUAAGCUGAAUCUGGAAGGAUUAGCAGUUCACCAGAUCAGACAAAGGGAGUGGGGUGCCAAACAAUCAGCCUGGGGAUGGCGUGCAAAAAAAAUCAGCCCGGAGGACUGAAAUGCCAGAGUAAACCCUGGAACUGCGAAGGGAAAGGCAGGCAGUGUCCUAGUUCGCUAAGGCUGCCCUAACAAAAUACUGCACAUUGAGUGACCUAAACAGACAGAAAUGUAUUGUUUCCUAUGCACUGGGCACGCAGCGUGGAGCUUGCAGCAUAGUGAUUUGUUCUGGUGCUACAGGCCGAAGAUAAGACUUUACACAUAGACAAGGAGCCCGGAAGAGACACGGCGACCGGAGGAUACGCCAGGCGGGAACGGGAAAGGGGGAGGGGCUUAGAAAGUAACACAGAGGUGGAACUGGGAGGAUGCUGGGUGUUUUUCAAACAGAAAUGGGGAUGUCCAUCUGUCAGGGGGGAAGAGUGAGUUCAGUUUCAGGUUUGCUGAGAAUGAGGUGAUAGAGGACGUCCUGUGGAGACCCCUGCAGACCCCGAGAGACACAAGCCUACAGCCUGAGGUGAGUUGGGGCUGGAGACCUGGAGAAAACGCCCACCACGGGGAAGCAGAGAAUCGAGACUCCGAGCCGUUCCUGGUCCAGAGGCAGCAGCAACGAUCGCAAAAAGGACAACAGGGAGCUCCUCCAUUUCACUCUCCUGGUACAUUAAUCCUCUCCUGUCCCGCCAGUGCACAGCCUCUAGUUCUGGAGGCCAAAGAGAAAUGGUGUCUUGGCUGCUUCUGGGCCAGCUAGGAAGGCUGUGACCACUAAGGCGCUGAGUCUCUCAAAGGCCACCACGGGCUGUGUGAAAGUGUUGGAAACCAGUAUCCCUGGGCCGGCGGGUAUGUUGUCCUUGAAAGACUGGAAAUUUGAGCCGCCAUCAAAAGCAUGGCCAUUUAGUUUACCUUAACAUGCAUUUCAAUAUUCUGCUGGGCCACUAAGAAGAGAAAAAUAAGGCCUCUGGGGGUAUUGGGGACCCGCCUGAGUACAGAAUGACUUCCUUGGGAGUUCCCUAUAAAAGUUGGCUUACCACUGCUCCCUUCCUUUCCACAGGCAGAUCUAGGCUAAAGCCUGUGUCCCGCAAUUUGGGCCAUUAGGCCGGGAAAGCUCCUCGAAUGACACAUGGAAAGAGUACUGGAUGAGCAGUUAGGAGACCCCAGUUCUAAUCCCGGUCAGCUUCCGGGACACUCAGCAAAUCACUUUGCAGACGCCGAGAAGAAACAGACCCUGUGUCUAUUUCUUCAUCUCUGAAAUGAGAGAGGCAGACUAUAUUCUCUCUGAAGUUCUUUAAAGCUCCAAAAUUCCUUGAAUUGUGUGUCGUAACUGGAGCGCGGACUGAGGAUAUACCUGAAGCGGGCAGGUCAGUCUGAAACCGGUGGUUUUGUGAGGACGGACAGGUGACUUGAUUCUCUUCUUGCUGUUUUGCCUUCUUUGGCCCCAACACCGGUUUCCUUUCCUGUUGUCCUCUGUCACCUGAUGUUUCCUCAGAGAACUAGAAUUCUCUGAGAAUCCUCAGAGAACUAUAAUUUAACAAAAAUUGCUAAAUGCGAGCAGUUGGGACUCGAUUGACUUCUCGGCGAUUCAACCACACAGUUGCUCUAAGAAUAUAUUUGCCCUUUCUCAGCCACUGUGGUACCACAGACAAACUUCUCCCGUGGCAGCGGGCCCCAGUUGCCAAGUCAUGCAGGUAACAGGCAGGCUGUUUCCCUGGUCAUGGGGGUUUUUCUGCUGUGCUAUGAAAGGAAGGCAUUGUCAGCUUUAUUAUUAUUUUCGAAUGAAAAUGUUUUGAAUCAUUUGUUUGAUGACUUCCUCCCUAGAAUGGGGUGGAGUUGUGACUAAGUUCAGGGAGGGCCUUCCAGGGCAGAUGAAGCCUGCUGGUACUUAUGGGAGGACACUUUUUCUUGAACAGUAAAUACCUCGCCUGACUAAUUCCAGGCAACCACGGGACAGUCAUUCCAUGUUCCACUGCUUGAAUUUUGGUUCUUGAGAUACAAACACGAGACCAGAGAAUACUAGACCCACGUUUCAUAGAGGGUAAAUACAUGCCUCUGGUAUCUGAAGGAAGAUACUGGGUAUCUGCUAACCUCUGUUUUUCCACAUGGUUUCCUUCCUAAUACUUCCAAUUUCCCCAACAUAUAAUGCAGAGUAGUAUCUAAUGCUAGAGACUGGUGUUGGGCUGAGUUAGGAUGCUUUGGGGCACAGAUACUUCCAAAGAGCAGAAGCAAUACUAUAUUUUACAAAUCCUGAAUUCCAUUUCUCCUAUUUUUAAAAAAAUUUUAAUGUUCAUUUUUGAGAGAGAGAGAGAGAGAGACAGAGGGAGAGCAGGGGAGGGACAGAGAGGGAGACACAGAAUCCGAAGCAGGCUCCAGGCUCUGAGCUGUCAGCACAGUGCCUGACUCAGGGCUUGAACCCACUAAUUGCAAGAUCAUGACCUGAACUGAAGUUGGACACUCAACCGACGGAGCCACCCAGGCACUCCUCUCUAUUUGUUUUUAUUUUUAUUUUUUAGGUGAAGUAAGAAAUCUUUUAUCUUAUCUUAUCUUAUCUUAUCUUAUCUUAUCUUAUCAUCUUAUCUGCCGCAAUAUUCCAACAAAAACCAAGCUAUUGAAGAGAUUAGGCAUAGUUUUGAAUCCAUGGACAAGAUACCUUAAACAGGUAUAAAAUUGCAGGAGGACCAUAGGGAAAUGAACUUUCCGAAUUCUGAAGUUAUAGAAGGAAAUUGGAGAACGCAUAGCAUCCACCACCACCACCCCCCCCCCCCCCCCGCCGCCCCCUGUCCACCCCCCACCUUGUUCCUCAGUCCGGGGUUCCAGGUAAAUUUAGGAAGCCAUGUUAGGUGUAGGGAUUACAAGGCCAGCUGAUUCUGUAACUCCCUUUGGAAGGACGUUUCAAGUAACCUUCAUAGUCAUUUUCUUUCUUUCUCCAUUCUGUCUCCUUUUCUCUAAUUAGGUUGCAUACGCUCCGAAAUGUAACAAAUGUUUGAGAAGCAAGAUCUAAUCAUUCAUCAGACUUAUUUUCUAAGUUAAAUGGCACAAAUUUCUUAAUCUUUGCUUCGAAUCUUUAAAAAAUAUUUUUAGACAUCUGAUGAAUUGUCGGUUUAUUGCUAAUUCCUAGAACUUUCUCAUUUCAUAACAACUCUCAAAUUGUGAAGAUUCCUCUCAGAUCAGCUCCUGCAUAAUUCCGAGCAGAAAUACACACGUGCAUAAAAGCCCCAAGUGACCCCUCACCUGCCCAGAGAGCUCUUUAUGGGGACAAUUUCAUAGGAACAAGCAUUCUGACAAGAGCCAGCCAGAAUCAGCAAAGGAGGGGACAGAAAAGCUGUAAAGAGCAAACAACAGACUGACCAAAUGCAUUGGGCUGGGGCCAGUUAUAAAAAGACCAAGUAGUGCUAUACAUUUCUUGGCUGCUAGGCAUUCAGUGGGUUUUAAACACCUUAAAAUCAAUAAUUGAUUUUCACCAUAAUGACCAUGGUCAUUUAGAAAAGAUGCUGUUCACAAAGGGUAUGAACCAUAUCAUCCAUUUAAAGGGUUGGAGAAGUGUGUUUCUUACUCUAGAAUGCUCUCCAACUGGGACGCCUGGGGGGCUCAGUCAGUUGAGCCUCUGACUUCAGCUCAGUUGAUGAUCUUGCGGUCCGUGAGUUCGAGCCCCGCAUCAGGCUCUCUGCUGAUAGCUCAGAGCCUGGAGCCUGCUUCGGAUUCUGUGUCUCCCUCUCUCUCUGCCCCUCCCCCACUCAUACUCUGUGUCUCUCAAAAAUAAAUACAUGUUAAAAUUUUUUUUUAAAAAGGAAAGGUUUAGAACGCUCUCUAACCAAGUUUAUUCAAGCCAAUUUAGUCUUGGCAUGAAAAGUGGUCAAUUAGUUAGCAGUUUUGCUGAUGUGUAUUGUUAGAAAAAGAUAAGCCAAGAGAUUUGUUGUUGUUGUUGUUGUUAGCAAUGCAAAAAGAAAGGGACAGUGGUGGGGAAAAAAAAGGAGGGACAAGUCCCCCUGGGCAAUUGGGAAUAGGUAGAGGACUGGGUAGAACUAGGUAGGGUGUAGGAAGGACGCGCCUGACUCUGGGCUUUUAUUCUGCUCAGAAAUUUAUUUUGAACACUCGAAUUGAAAAUGUACAGCAACCUCUGGGUUUAAAAUGUUACCACGAGUCCUCUGGAGGUUGUAAUAGUGUAGAGCAGGGGAAAGUAAAAAAAAAGUUUCACCUCAAAAGUACCUCCCCAUAUGGCCAGUAACUUCCUGGCUUUUAGCAUAAGCCACCCCGUCUAGCGGACUGCACAUCAAGCUUCCAAGGACGGACGGGGAAAAAUUCCAGGAAAGCCACUAGUGUGAAAUUAUACCUAUAUGCACCAAGUGACUUAACUCCGAUGAUGAAUUCACCUUUCUCUAUCAAGAUCACUUGUUUACUUGGAUCUUUAUCAAAUGUGGAGCUUAGGUCACAUCCUCCUUGAGGUCACCAACUUGAACUCAUCUCAGCCCUGCAAAGCUCUGCAAACGUUCUCAGUAAAUGAUUCACCCAACAUUCACGUAACACAUCCUCACCGAGGGCCAACGACGUGCCAGGCAGUGUUCUAGGCCUGAAAGAAAUAGACCAAAAUUUCCACCCUAAUGGACAUCACCUUUCUAGAGGCUAUAUAUAGUUUCUGUAUGUGCUGUAUUUUCUGGUUUCUAACCAAAAUGAAAUCAAAGAGAAUGAAAUGUGAAGCAAGAACAAAAAACAUUGAUGAAAAAACAGUCCAGCUGCACUGGAGGCCUCGGCGGUGAACUCUCCCCAGAUCUGGCUCUGUAGCAGGAGUACAGUGGGAGGCCUCACCCAAGGCUCCUCUGAAUUAGUGUUCCAGGUACGAGGUCCAGGAAUCUGUUUUCUCAAAAGCUCCAUACGUGAUUCUGAUGUGGCCAGUCCAGAACUCUGCCCAAACUUGUGUUUGGAAAUCACUGAGCUAGAUGUUCUCCUGAUAUUUGUGUCUGUCAGCCUUCUAGCAGGAAACAAAAAACACAUUCAGUUGGAUAAAUUGAGAGUUUACAAUGGGAUGAUUUAUGAACGUGUGGUCAGGCUAUUGGGAAACCCCAGAGGAUGGUGCAGAGCUCCGAGGCUGGUCAAGGAAGUAACCAUCAACAUCUCCAAGCCUGAAGGAGUGACAGGAGCAGGGAGGCAGGGACCUGGAGUCAGAGAGGGCUGGGUAGAGAGGGCUCUGGACAGGAGCUGUGACCUUCAGUUCUGGGAAGCAGUCAGCUGGCUUGAGCCCAAUCCAAGGGCCAGAAGUCCACUGACGUCAACCACAGAGGCCAGCCUCCAGGGCACAAGGACGGAUGGAGAAAAAGAUGGACGGUGAAAUUGGACAGGCAAAUAAAGAUGUUCAGCUCAAGGCUCAAUCUAUGAAAAUAGGAAUAUAUGCAAAUAUAGUACCCAAAUUAAUCUAAAGCCAUAUUCCUAAUACUUCAUGGCAAAACUGUUUUCAUGAGCCAUCUAACUCUUAGCCUCUUGCUAACUUUUCCUGGUACCCCAGAGAUAACAAAACGGUAGGUAUUUGUUCUUCUUCUUGUUUUUCUUUUGAUAGCAGGUAAUAUUUAUUGAGUAAUCAUUAUGUUUCAUAUAUUGUGAUCAUUUUAAUUUAUAAAAUAAGACUUUGAGUAGAAAUUGUCAUUUUCCUGAAAAGGAAAUUAAUGCACAGAGAGGUUAAAAACUUUACCUUGGGUCACACAGUCUAUAAGCCUAAAGCCAAGCUUCAGGGUCAGAUUUGUCUUAUAUCAACGCCCAUGCUGUUAACCCUUAUGUGAUUUUGUGAAGCCUCUCCAAGAAAACGCAAGGCACAGUCUCCCUCAGUGACUUGGAAGGUUAUUCUCUAGACCUUUUGUCAAGAACAAGAAACCACAAUUUCUUGUAUUUUUUAAAUACAGUCUCAUAUUCAUUCAGUACUUAACCAAUUUUUGUGUUUGAUAAAUAUUAUAUAUCUCCACAUUCAUACUCAGGAAGCAACGUGGGCCUUGUGGAUUGGCCAUUUACUAGCUUAUGCAUUCAUGGUUCCAGGCUGAAGCACUGGGUUGGUACCUUAUCUCUGUGCUCUGCUGGUACUUCUGUGUUCAGAACACAACUAGCUUGACCAACCAUCCCAGUGUGUCCCAACUGAGGGGUUUCCUAGGCCAUGGGACUUUCAGUGUGAAAACCGGAACAGCCCCAGGAAAAAAAGCAGGAUGGUUGGUAAAUGCCGGUUUGUUUGCUUGCUUGCUUGUUUGUUUUCAAGAUAGUUUCAGCUUUGUAAUCGAGAGCCUCACAACAAAUUCUAAAAACACAUUUAAAAACAUUUUAAAAGUCCAAUUUUCUUCACAUUUCCCCCCCCGUUUAGGCCUUGGUUAGAUCUGUUCCUGCAGUACUCAAGGUCUAGUCUCUGGUCCUUAUUUAAGACAAAUAGGCUGAGGCACAGAAGUCACAGGAUAGCACAGUGGACAGAGAACUCAAAGAAGGUUCAGCCCAGGCAAGUUAUCUGGGCGGCCAAAGACGGGAUGGCAAGUGAUGAAGGAUGUGGCUCGUCCUCAGUACAGCCCAGAUCUUCAUCCGCAAGGUCAGUCCUAGGCAUGUGGUACUUGCCUCCAAACACAGAGCUUAUUACACGAUGUUGUCAUUGCUUGUUUAUUACUUGUCUCCCUUGGUAGACAAAGAUCAUUGAGGACAAGGAUUUCAGCCAUCUCGGGAUUUAAACUGGGCCCUUUCCAUGGCUGCAGCCCAAUGAGUUGUUGGGUAAUAUCCGGGACACAAGGGAGGUGCAUUUACCCAAGAUUUGUUUCUGCAUUUUCUCUACUCAUUGUAGAACUUGGCUCAGGUAUCACCUUUGAAACAUGUAAGACACUGGAGGAAGGGAUGGGGAAGCAUGGUGCCUCACGUUGUAGGAGAAUUUUCUGCUAAGGAAGUUUCCAGUCUCAUUCCCCAAAGAUUGCUGUGUCUCGGGAGACUCUGCCCACUCCCUUCCAGCUCCACAAGAGUCAGGGUACAAAGAUAAAGACAGCCCAGGGUCCCUAGAUUAGCUGGCUUUCUGACUCUCACAUUGGUCUUCACCCUUCCUUAUUUUCUGGGGGGGGGUGCCAGACCAAUGAAAAAAACGUUUCUUUUUAAGGAGGCAAAGAUUUGGUUCAAGUAAGUGACUGAGGCUUCUGUAGAAAACCUUGCAGGAAUCCAACCGUCCUGUGUGGUAUUAUUAAAGGUAGCGAGAGAGAUGUUGAGGAAGGAAGUAAUUCUUACAAAGCAAUUAUUUUGUGCCAGGAACAGCGCUAGUGUUUUAUAUGUCCAAAUGAGUUUAUUCUAUGCCAAGCUAUUAUGCGAUUCAUUAUCGUUUCUAUUUACAAGUACGGCUUAUCCAAAGUCGUGUAACUAGCGAGAGGCAGAGGUAAGAUCUGAAACCACGUCUAUUAACCUCAAAAAACUCCAUCCUUGUUUGCUAACACACAGUUGUGAAGCAUCACCGCUGCCUCCUGGUGGCCCUGAAAGUCUCUGGACCGGCUCCUUGGGCAACCAGGUUUCUUCCAGUGUCCGAUGUUACCCAGGUAGUCAGCAUGACCAAGAAAUGUUGAGUAUUUCCAGAGGAAGCCUACAAGAUGCAUGGAGCUAAUAGGAGGUGAGGGAACCUCUGUAAGAGGAGGACCUGAAGAGUAGCCAAACCCCUGGCUUUGGGACUUCCUUAUAUUAGCAGGGGGAAGAAAUCCCAUUUAUAAGUGCUAAUGAAGUCUCUGGUUCAAUUUCACAAGUAUCAAUUAUUCACAGAGAAUUAGCAACUGCUGAGGAUCUCCCCACCCUGUUCAGCCAACAGCUGGCAUUCAGCCGUGCCCAACCUUGGUGUUUGGGUUUAGUCUUUUGAAGAUCAGUGCCCUCUGGAGGUUGAAGUUAGAGAAGCAAAUGCAAGAGAGAAAAAGGACCCUCAAAACCUUUUCUGCUUCUGCUCCCUAAGUCCCUUCCUUGAGGUACAUUAAAACAUAGGCUGGGGAGUUUGGAGGAAAAAAUUAUUUUUCUAGUGUGACCCGAGUGUGAAAUACCAUGACACCACUCUACUGGGUUAGUCAUGAGGAAAUCAGGAGGUUCCUCAAGUCCAAGCCCCAGGUGCUGGUUUGUUCCCCGUGCUGGCUCUUCCCACAUGCUCUAUCCUAUUGGACUGGCUAAUGAGGCCUGGGAAGUAAGCCACCAGCAAAGCAGAUUCCCAGUGAAAAAAGCAGUACCACUACGCAUUGAAGGACUCAGUGCCAAUGUCGGGGUUUUCUUUGUUGAGAAACAAGAAAGUUCGGCGUGCAGAUUUGGAUUAACAUCAUGACUCCAUUCCUGCCUGGCCGUCCCAAGGCAGUGGUGACAGGGGCUGGGGAGAAACCAGCUUAACAUUUGUGAGCACCAACUGUGUGCCAAGCCCUACUUUAACUCAUUGAUUUCCUGAAGAGGAAGAGUGCUGUCCUUUGGUUCUUUAAAUUCCUUGGUGAAUUUAUUUCUGAAGGACUAACUUGUCCCUUCAAUAGGAUGGCCCACAGCAGACGAGCUGCUUCAGGUGAGAGCGUGCAGCAAGGAAAGGAUGUGGUAGCACAGUCCCAACAGGGUGAUCUUGUGCCUGUGGUUAGGGUGGAGGGGCAUGGGAGGGACUCCCAGUCUCUAAGCCUCCUCCUUUUUGCUCCCGGCAAGAGUGAUUUAGGAAGGUCAGACUUACCAAUCAGGUCUAGGAUGCCUCUGCGACUAGUCCGGCCCUGACUUGAACGCCCAUGUGGAUAGCUGGGCUUUGAUUGUGCUCCUUGGUCUCAGAUCUGUGCCUUCUUCUGUGGCUGAGGCCUUGACUUGGUAACUGAGGCAGAUGGUUGGUGUCCCCACCCAUGUUCUCCCACCUUAUACCAUUUCUGAGUUCACUGGUUCAAUUUGUAACCACCAGCACCUGCAUCCACUGGCCUGCUGGCCUUCUUUAGAGGGAGGGAUCCGCUCUGGCUACAUGCAUACCAAGCCAGAAGUGCCGGAAGUGAGCUGAUGUCCACCUCUCUGGUAGUCUUUGACCAAUAACUAUAGGAAAUCCAAUGUAUCAUCUACAGAAUGUAAAGACAAUGUGAAACCCAGCACAUCUGGGAGAUCAUAUUCAGAGGCAAUGCUUAAAAAGUUUAUUCCUUGAUGGCGCCUGGGUGGCUCAGCCGGUUAAGUGUCUGACUCUUGACUUCAGCUCAGGUCAUGAUCUCACAGUUCAUGGGUCCAAGCCCCACAUCAGGCUCUGUGCUGACAGCAGGGAGCCUGCUUCUCUGCCCCUUCCCCACUUGCUCUCUAUCUCUCUCUCAAAAUAAAUAAAAAUAAACUAAAAAAAAAUGGUUUAUUCCUUUAGAAUGCCCAUGAGUGUCUUAAAGGCAAAGAUUGGCCCUUAACUAGUACUGAAAAUCCAAUGCCAAUUUCAGGUAAUAGUUCUCUAAAAAUCGCUGCUGUGGUGUUGGGCAAAAUAGUAUAGCAUUGAUUGGAAUCUAGUAUUGAGUGUGUGUAACAGACUGUGGUUUCUUCCAUUCAAUCCUAGUAAUUCAGAAUUGGUUUUGUAUUAGUUAUCACCCUCUGCGUAACAAAUUACCCCAAGCCUGGUGGCUUCAAACCAUAAUAAUUUAUUACCUCUCACAGUGUGGGUCAGGAACAUGGGAGUGACUUCUCUGAGUGGUGGCUCAGGGUCUCUCGUUAGGUUGUAGUUAGACAUUGCUGAGGGUGCAGUCAUUGGAGGGCUUGACUGGGGCCGCGGAUCCACUUCCUAGGCUGCUCAUUGACAUGCCUGCCUAUAGGUGAGAUGUUGUAGGUGUUCUUCAUGUGAGCCUCUCUGGAGAGCUGCUUGAGAAUUCUUAUGGCAUGGUGGCUUACUUACCCCAGAGGGAGUAAUCUAAGAGGCCAAGGUAGGAGCUGCCGUGUCUUUUCUGACCUAGCCUCUGAAAUGACAUAUUGUCAUUUCUGCUCUACUCCAUUGACCACACAAAUCACUACUGAUUCAGCGAGGAGGGGGGCUACAUAAGGGCGUGGAUAGCAGGAUGCGAGGAUCGUUAGAGAUCUGGAAGCUGGUCAGCGUGGGUUUCUAGGGUAAAGUUCAUUCUACACGGUGUUUGAGGUGAGGACCAUGUGGAACAACAACAGAUUCACGUUCCACUGGAAAGUGCCUGUGGACUGGACAGCCAGAAACAUUUAAAAUGUUUUUUCUUACUUUAUAAUCUCCCGUAAUGCUACCUAUGACAACAGAUCAUGAUCUGUAAGCUGUUUUGUUAAAUAUCCUACAGCCUCCAGUAAAGCUUUGCCUAACAUGGAGGCAGAAACUCCUCAGAAAUGUAUAUACUGAGUCACACUUGAGCAAAACAGAGAGUUUGGCUUUUGACGGGGAAGUGUCACCUCUCAGAUGCCUUCCCUUUUAAAACCGCCUUAAAGCCCUAACCUCCAUGAAUUCGCAGAGAUGUAAGUCAGAACCUUGAGCCCAAGAGUCAGGCUAGGGCAUGGUCUGGGUAUUGCUACCUGUAGACAUUUUCUGGGCCAGGAUAUGGCUGCACAGUGGAGCCCUUUGUUAUGCUCUGGGCAGAUGGAGUCCACUGGCCUGAUUGCUUCAGGGCUCAUUUCCUGAACGGGAAGGUUCUACCACCUGGUGGAUGGAUCGCUCCAAAACAAACAGGCGUCACGCUCCAAACCUUGAGCCCUGUGCUGAGCCCUGAAAGCUGGGGAACAGAGACGAACCAGGGAUACAUCAUCAGUGGUAUCAAAUACCACUGCUCCGAGAAGUUUUUACAUGAGUUCACUUCCUGCUACCAGAGGUCAAGUUCCCUCCGCAGGAAUGAAGGAAAAACAAAGCAAAGCAAAGCAAAACAAAACACCCCCAAACCUAAGGAGACCGCGUGGAAAGGAGCCAGGUAAAGUGACAUGGCAGCAAUAGUCAGGCUUAGCUUGUUUCUCAGUCGUGGACGUAGCCUGAAAACCCUACUCUUAUCUUAUGAGAAGUAGUCCAGUUAGCCAUUUAAACAUUCAGUGCUAUGGUACGUCUGCUUCGUGUUUUGCCGGUGAAAUAUAUUCCCUUUUAGCUUUUCCACAGUAACUUUCUGAGGUUGGUGUUAUUUGCCUCUGGCUCCUCUAACUAAAAUGGCCAACCCUCCCUCUUUCCUUCUCCUGCUUUAUUCAUUUUUUCAUAGAGCUUAUUACUAUCUGGCAUUAUAUCCCGUGUCCAUGUGUUUAUUUCUGAUUAUCGAUUUGCCUAUCUAAAGGUAAAAGGUCCACAAGAACAAGGAUUUGGUCUGUUUUGCUCUUAGCCGCAUUCCCAGAGCCUCGUCAAUGCUUCAUGAAUACUUGCUGAAAAAUAACUUUUUCAUUGAGUCAGCUAUGCAAGGUUAAAUGACAUUCUGCAGGCCCUUUGUGUCCAAAGUUGAUGCACUUUUUCCCUCCCGUGUUGUGCUGCCUCUCUCUUUUCUGUAUCCGGAGGCCAGAUUUUAGGAAACUGGGGCCACAAAGUUGCAAAGCUGAAUAAUGGAAGAGCUCACACUAGAACCCACCUCUUCUGGGGAUUUCAUUGCUCAGCCUUGAUUUUUGCUNCUCAUUGACAUGCCUGCCUAUAGGUGAGAUGUUGUAGGUGUUCUUCAUGUGAGCCUCUCUGGAGAGCUGCUUGAGAAUUCUUAUGGCAUGGUGGCUUACUUACCCCAGAGGGAGUAAUCUAAGAGGCCAAGGUAGGAGCUGCCGUGUCUUUUCUGACCUAGCCUCUGAAAUGACAUAUUGUCAUUUCUGCUCUACUCCAUUGACCACACAAAUCACUACUGAUUCAGCGAGGAGGGGGGCUACAUAAGGGCGUGGAUAGCAGGAUGCGAGGAUCGUUAGAGAUCUGGAAGCUGGUCAGCGUGGGUUUCUAGGGUAAAGUUCAUUCUACACGGUGUUUGAGGUGAGGACCAUGUGGAACAACAACAGAUUCACGUUCCACUGGAAAGUGCCUGUGGACUGGACAGCCAGAAACAUUUAAAAUGUUUUUUCUUACUUUAUAAUCUCCCGUAAUGCUACCUAUGACAACAGAUCAUGAUCUGUAAGCUGUUUUGUUAAAUAUCCUACAGCCUCCAGUAAAGCUUUGCCUAACAUGGAGGCAGAAACUCCUCAGAAAUGUAUAUACUGAGUCACACUUGAGCAAAACAGAGAGUUUGGCUUUUGACGGGGAAGUGUCACCUCUCAGAUGCCUUCCCUUUUAAAACCGCCUUAAAGCCCUAACCUCCAUGAAUUCGCAGAGAUGUAAGUCAGAACCUUGAGCCCAAGAGUCAGGCUAGGGCAUGGUCUGGGUAUUGCUACCUGUAGACAUUUUCUGGGCCAGGAUAUGGCUGCACAGUGGAGCCCUUUGUUAUGCUCUGGGCAGAUGGAGUCCACUGGCCUGAUUGCUUCAGGGCUCAUUUCCUGAACGGGAAGGUUCUACCACCUGGUGGAUGGAUCGCUCCAAAACAAACAGGCGUCACGCUCCAAACCUUGAGCCCUGUGCUGAGCCCUGAAAGCUGGGGAACAGAGACGAACCAGGGAUACAUCAUCAGUGGUAUCAAAUACCACUGCUCCGAGAAGUUUUUACAUGAGUUCACUUCCUGCUACCAGAGGUCAAGUUCCCUCCGCAGGAAUGAAGGAAAAACAAAGCAAAGCAAAGCAAAACAAAACACCCCCAAACCUAAGGAGACCGCGUGGAAAGGAGCCAGGUAAAGUGACAUGGCAGCAAUAGUCAGGCUUAGCUUGUUUCUCAGUCGUGGACGUAGCCUGAAAACCCUACUCUUAUCUUAUGAGAAGUAGUCCAGUUAGCCAUUUAAACAUUCAGUGCUAUGGUACGUCUGCUUCGUGUUUUGCCGGUGAAAUAUAUUCCCUUUUAGCUUUUCCACAGUAACUUUCUGAGGUUGGUGUUAUUUGCCUCUGGCUCCUCUAACUAAAAUGGCCAACCCUCCCUCUUUCCUUCUCCUGCUUUAUUCAUUUUUUCAUAGAGCUUAUUACUAUCUGGCAUUAUAUCCCGUGUCCAUGUGUUUAUUUCUGAUUAUCGAUUUGCCUAUCUAAAGGUAAAAGGUCCACAAGAACAAGGAUUUGGUCUGUUUUGCUCUUAGCCGCAUUCCCAGAGCCUCGUCAAUGCUUCAUGAAUACUUGCUGAAAAAUAACUUUUUCAUUGAGUCAGCUAUGCAAGGUUAAAUGACAUUCUGCAGGCCCUUUGUGUCCAAAGUUGAUGCACUUUUUCCCUCCCGUGUUGUGCUGCCUCUCUCUUUUCUGUAUCCGGAGGCCAGAUUUUAGGAAACUGGGGCCACAAAGUUGCAAAGCUGAAUAAUGGAAGAGCUCACACUAGAACCCACCUCUUCUGGGGAUUUCAUUGCUCAGCCUUGAUUUUUGCUGCCAUGGACAAGCUAAGGAUUUUGCUUCAGUUUAUGAAGUGAAUAUACUGAGGUUAGAAACGGUCCCCUUGCUUUUCCCACUGUGGCCGAUUUGCUUCUUGGUUGGUUCGUGGGUGUCUACAUGCCCUUAGGGUAUGACUCAGCAUUGUCACAAUCCACCCCUGUGCCACCUCUGUGGUAAACGUGGCACAUAAGGAAAGAGCUUGAAAGCAGUUACACACGGCUACUCAAACAUCUCCAUCUAGAAACCAUCUAGGUUUCUACAUGGGAAGAGCUUACGUCUACAGCUCUAGGCAAAACAUCUGAACCAGUACUGGGAUGAAGUCCUGUGGACGUUCAGAAUACAUCUCACUUGUCUUAUUUGUGUGUUUUCAGGGUCAUUUGACAAUCCUUUAUCCAUCUUUGGCUUGCCCCAGGUCUUCUUCUUUGCCCACCACCUGGAUUUCUUCUUUGCCUGUCUGCCUUGGUCUCUCCGGAGAGCCCAAAGUAGCUGUCAGGAUUGAAAACACCCAGUGAACACCCAAGAGCUUUGGUUGCCAAGUUGCGGAAGCCGCAGCAAUCACUCCCUUAUGGCCAUUUGCUCAUGGAGCCAAGAACAACCAAAAACAUCAGCUGGGAGUCGACCCUCACAAGCAAACAGAUUGGUCCAGCUUAUAGCUCAGAAAAGGCUUGCUGGGGGAGUCUGUUUCUUUUGAGAAGAAACACAUGUUUAUACCCAAACGAUGCAGUUCAGCGUGUUCCUCUUGGAAGGAUGCUGGAACCCAUGGGCCUUUAGCACUCCUUUGGUGGAUUUGUUACACUGGGCUCACCUUGCCCAACACUGCUGGGGUGAACUGCCUUUCUAAGUUCUCCCUCUGCUCUGUGCCUUAGGGGUCCACGAAAACAGCACCGCCUGGUCAACUACUAGAGAAAGAACUGCACCAAUUAGGCAGAAAAUAAAUGAGGGAGUUUUUUGUCCCCAGAUUACAUAGCAUCAAGAGUAAAUUUUCCCAAUAACUUGUCACAUUUCCAUAUUAUUUUUUUCCCGUGGGAAAGAGAGCAUAAAGGGAGAAGAAUCAAUGGAAAGAACUCAUGGGUCUUGGAAUGUGGGUUCAAAGCCCAGAUCUGCUAUUUACUGACUUUGUGCCCUUGAGUGAGGUAGACUGUUGCAGAAUCCCAGAGAGGUUAAGUAAUUGGGCCCAAACCAUGACACUAUUGAAUGGCAGGGUUGGAACUGGAGCCUGGAUUUUUUGAGAUUUGUUUAUACACCAUAUAUAAAAUGAGAUAUUAUAUUAAAACUUAAUAAGUGCUAGGUUUAUCAUUACUAUUUUUGUCAAACGCUCACUGAUUAUGUUAUAAAUACAGAGUUAGGUGAUUGGGAUACGAAGAAAAUAGGAAAUAAACCCUGACAUUGAGGGACUGUCAGAGACUGAGAAUCUCUUAGGGAUCUUGUGUUCUUUGGCACAUAAAACUUGCCUUCCUAAAAUAGAAAUAAUGUUCUCAUUAAAAAAAAAAAAGACAUUAAAAUAAUGUAAUUAGUAUUUCACUUGGUGAAGGAGAAAGUAUAAUGGAGGCUACCCCCAAAGCAUUGUGCAGAUCAAAUGAAAUAAUAUCUGAAAGAGGAGGUUGAAAAAUAAAAAGCAUGCUUUAGCUAUAAAGCAUUGUUGUUCUUGUCUAUUAUUGUUAAAUACCACUGCUGCAUCUAAGGUGCUGCAAUCCUUACAGAGAGGAGACUGAUAGAUGGUGCCCUCUAGAAGACAGGGUGUAAGAGGUGUUGAAUAAGGGAUAGAACAAGAAGAACCAUAACGAGUUCAGAGAAAGACCCAGCAUAUUAAUGUUUACAGAUUGUCUGAAACUCAGAGGUUCCUAGACUAAAACAAAGCACCUUGGAGACAAUUCAUCCUCGUGGUAUUUGAAGUGUAGACCUAAAGUAUUUGAAAGGUUCUUAAGUCAUCCAGUUUAUCUUGGAAGGGUGAGGUUGGGUACCAAGGGUACAUGUAAGUUUUAUCUUUACAGAGAGGAAAUAAAAGUCUCCUGUUUUGCCCAGAGUCAGACAGUAAGUUUGAGGUAGAGACCAAACAUCUCCAAGUUUGGUUAAUGGGAGUGGAAAGAAACAAGGGUUUAGAACCAAUCCCUCCCUUUACUAGUGAUGAGACUACAGACAAGUUACACUGAACCUUUUAGAGCAUCACUUUUUUUCCCCCAUCUGUAAAAGAAGGGAAAAGAACAAAGCAUCAAUUGCAUCACUUGAGUUGGUUUGGGGGAAAGUGAAAUAGGACAGGCAGGGAUACAUCUGGUACAGAACUGUGUGUCUUUCUAUCAUCUCCGUCAGUUGUGGUCAUGAAUUUAACCCCUUCUUUUCCCAGCUAAGGUAAUAAAUAGCUCACGUGUUACAGGCCAGAAGGAAAGGAGGUUGUAUUUCCCUCUUAACCGGAAUAAAAGUGUAACAGAGCUUGUGGGCUUUAUGUAUUCUCAGUAACUGUCACAGUGCCUAGAACUUAGAAGGUGCUCCAAAAAUAUUUAUGGAGCUGGAACUGUCACCAGGUUGUUAAUAAAACUGCAAAUUGUCUUUCCACCUGCCCUAUGCCAUUUUUACAUAAGGAGAAUUAUCCAACCAAUAUUAUUUGAGAGAGUUCUGGUUUUGGUUUGGUUAAGUGGUCUCUAUUGAGCCAACCUACAUAAAGAUAAAAACUGAGAACUCUGGACAAAAGAUACUGAAAAAAUUCAAUUACUUGAAGGUACCAAAAAGUGAAUAAAAGCACACAGAUAGUGGAAGAGUAUGACAACAGACAAAGUAGAGGGCACUGGGUAUGUUCUCCUUCUGCCCCUUUUUCUAAUAGCUGUUAGCCUGAGGGAAGAUCCCCGUCUGUGGCUUGUGGGGGUGAGUAAAGCAAGUGGAAAAUCAUAUCUUACUGGCUGGAAGAAGAGAAAACCCUGAAAAAGGAAAGGAACAGAGAAGGAAAGCCCCAAACUCUAGUUUCUAAACUGCCUAAAUCUCUGACUAAUCUCUGAAUCAUGCAUGCACAAGGAAUUGACUUUAAAAAAAAAAAAAAAUCAAUACUCUUCAGAGGAACAUAACAGAAUCCAGAUUCUCUAUAACAUGUUUUUCAUAAUGUCUGCCAUAUAAUCCAAAAUUAGUUGAUAUAUGAAGAAACAGAACAACAUCGUCUACAUAUAAGCAAAACCCCAAAUUAUAACAUUGUCAUGUGGAAUUUAUAAUGUAUGUAGAUGUAACACAUACUAGAACUAUAGUAUAAAUGAUGUGGAUUUCUGUAUUUUACAUGAAGUAGUACAAUAUUAACUUGAAGCUGAGUUUAACACAUUAAGAAUUCAAAUAUAUUGUAAUCUCUACAGCAAACACCAAAACCAUAAUGCAGUAGGUACGACUAGAAAGUCAAUAAAUUACAAUGGAAUUCCAAAUUAUCUUCGUUUGAUUCAGAUAUGAAUCUCACUGCAGAUGUGCAAACCCAUCCCACAGCAGGCUCAGAUUAUAACCAUGGAACCAAAGGGUAGCAAACUCCAGAUGUGAGCCUCCAAAACAGCUCCUCAGUGACCUGACUCCUUCCGGCCUUAAUGAGAACAAGAAGGAAAGAAAUGGAAUUCGGAAGGGACGUCCCAGAUUUAAGGAUGUGAGCAAAACUGAGGACACAUAAACAAAAAUGGGCGGAGUCACUAGAGUGGAAGGUGGGGAACGUGUAAGAAGCUCAGGGUGCUGGUGCUAUAAGCCUGAUCUCCGCAGCUGGUUGCCUUACCACUGAGAGAAGUCUGGUGAGGCUUUGGGAAGUGAGUGCCAGUCACAGCCAACCACAGCCAGCCACUCUGGACUAAUUUGGGCAAGCAAAUGGCCAAGCAUGUUGCUAACUACAUUUCUAAGAUACUGCUAGAAGAAGGAAAAGAGCAAAACCACCUUCCUGACCCUCUUCAACCUCGUGUUUUUGCACCUGUGUCGGUGUGUUGCAAAGCAGGGGGCAUUGCACAACUUAUUUGCCACCAAUCCCUCAGUUUGUUCACGGACCACACACUUCAUUAGCAUACGAUUUCCAAGUCAGUGGUGGUGGUUUCACAAUCAACAGCUGUGAGGGAAGGAAGGUGCCUGAGAAGCUCACACUAAGACAUUCCCAAAUUCCACAUUACUUUUGUCGAAACAAGUAAUUGCAAUGACUGAAGCAAUGUGGGGGAGACAAAUGACACUGGGAACUUCAAACCAUGUAUGAACAUAUUGGAAACUCCUUUGUGUAGUUUUCUAGAAUGUACGUGUCUGAUUCUGUCCUGACGGUAACCAAGUCUUGCCCUGGGGCCAAUUCAGCAUCCGUUAAGAGGAGGAAUUGCUAGGUGGAGGGAGAACAUAGCCCUUUCCAAAAAAGAAUUAUGACUUGAGAGAGAAUUCCUUAUUGGAGCCGGUGGGAGUGGGUGGAGAGGGCUAAGAUACAUAAUAAAAUAAGAAUGUGGAUAGAGAACAAACUGGUGGUUGUCAGAGAGGAGGGGUGAUGGAGAGACGGGUGAAAUAGGUGAAGGAAAUGAAGGGAUACAAACUUCCCAUUGUAAAAUAAAUGUCAUGGGGAUUAAAAGCAGAGCAUAAGGGAAUAUAGUCAAUAAUACUGUUUAUAUGGUGACUACAUUUAUCAUAGUGGGCAUUUUGUAAUGUAUAUAAUUGUCAGAUCACUACAUUGGAUACCUGAAACUAAUAUAAUAUUAUGUCAACUAUACGUCAAUGUAAAAAAAAAAUAAACACACUAUGCUGGAAGUUUCUACUAAAAAAGUGACAGUGUGGGCCUUCAGAUUUUCAAGGAGGAUACAAGAGGUAAAAUACUGGCUGGCUACAUGGGCUAUUGUGUUUUUGGGUUCUAUAAAGAACUAGCCUGGGUCUGGAAGCCCCAGGUGGGAGAUGCUGUUGAGACCGUGCAAGGGAGCAGGAGCACUAGCCUAAGGUCAGGUGAGGGAGGCACAAAAUUUGAAGGAGUGCCAAAAAAACCUCAAGAAUCAAGCAAUCAAGAAUUAUUUUUUUAACCAAAGAUAGAAAUUUUAACACAAUACUUAAUCAAGUUUCAUGAAAAACAAUCCACGAGGAACAAAAUAUCAAAAAUGUUACAUAAAAGCAAGCUGUUGCUCUUUGUCUGUAUCAUGACCCCGAGUUCCUCGGCUGCAGCCACGGUUGUUUCCAAUCAGCCCUUGGUUCCUGGGUCUGCGCUGCUGAUGCACCCCCCCCCCCCCCCGCCCCGCCCAAGUGGGUAUAUGAUGGUUGAUAAUGAUGGGCAAACAAAUAGGGCAUCACACGACUUUAUGUAUAGAUAGUUUUUUUAGUUGUAGAACUUUCACCAAUGUUUCCACUUGGUUCAAAGUCUGGGAGGAUAUCUUGGUUGGUGUCCGUAGGUGGGCACAUCAUUCCUUUGUCGCUGGUUCCAACAGGGCUCAGCCUGUCAUGCCGCAGAGAAGGAUGUGCUGUGAAUGCCGCAGAGGAGGGAAUAGCCAAGCACACUGUUACUGAAAGCUUGCUACACAGAGGGACUUUUGAGAAUUCAGGGUGAGUUGAUUUACAACUGACGGUCUGGGGAAUCGUUGGCUGCAAAUCCAUAGAAUGAGGACCCAGCACAAAAGAAACAGGGGACUCUGUGUGAUCAUGGAGCCCAGACGGUAGAAAGAGAGCCUUGGCUGCUGAGUCAGCCACUAAGCCUAGUCCUGCCACUGACUUCCCAUGUGAUUGCCUGCAUCAAACCCUUCCUGAGCCUCAGUUUCUACACCAGCAAGAUGAAGUGGUUCUCAUACCUGUUUUUGCUGGGAGCCCUUUCUCCAAAUAAACCUUAUGUGGCAGCUACAGGCAGAAGUAGAACUGAUCUGGUUGAACUUGGGGUGUGAACACCCUCACCUGUUCAACGUUUCCUGGUCCCCCACAGGGGCCUUUAUGGAAACCUCCUCCAUCAUCUCAGGGCUCUCCAAGCUGUGUUCGGGAAACACUGAUGCCAACUCUAGUUCUAACAUUCUACUCUAGCCCAGAAGGAAGCUCUGCCUGUUAUUUGCAUGGUGACAAUCUGACAGUGAAAUGUUUACCCAUUUUAAGAAACCGGAGGAGUCUCCAGCCUUUGGAUUGCGCUUAUGGGUGUGUCCUGUUCUGUUUCUGGGUUCUUCUGGCCUACAGGGCCCACGGAAGUAGCAGAAGCAUCAAGAGGAGUUAGUUAGCCUUGCUAUGGCCAGUACAAUUAUACAGUGGAGUGGGGCACUCUGCCAGGAUUUUAACAUGAAGCAGGCACCCCUGGGAACACUGACAAAUGACCAAGGGUUGUCUACACGUGGCCAGGAGCCAGCAGCAGCCAGCUGGGCCUUACUUCCUGCUGACUGUCAUAGUUCCAGACCUCUGAAUGUUCCAGAACUGAGAGUGAAUGAAUUCCAGUGGUAUUCAAAACAACAACAAGGUCUUUGUUGUCUUUCUUGAGAUUGCUAUCCUCUUGAUGAUGUUGGCUGUUAUUGAUCUUUCAAGGAUGUAACAGCCUACUCUUAAAACACAGGUGGCAAGGAAGCCACGGGAGCUAUAGAAAGGGAAGGAACUCCAAGCUCCGACCGAUCCAAGUUGGAACCCCACUGCCACCUCUUUACUAGUUGUAUGAUCUUGGUCUGGUUAUUGUUGUUGUUGUUGUUGUUGUUGUUGUUGUUGUUUUAACUUGUCUGAGCUUCAAAUUUCUUAGCUGUACAACGGAAAUGAAGCGUCAGAUAAAGCUGUAUUGAGCUCUAUACAUGGAAUUACAGGAAUAAAAUGUUGUUAGCAGGAAUUAGCCAGUGCUCAGUAAAUGUUCCCUUCCUUCCCCCGCCCCCCACUCUUUUCUGCAACUCUCAUCUCCUUAAAGAAAUAGGUCAAGAAAAGUUUUAUGUUUGUCAGCUCUGAGAGCUCUUGCGUGAGAUUAUGCUGAUUAUUUUUUUUCUUUUCCUAUUUUCCAUGUUUUCUAUAGUAAAUGUGUGUCAGGAGGCUUGAAGUAGCCCAGGAUCUAAACAAAUGCGAGGGUUGAGAGCAGAAUGGGAUUUGCAUCCUUGACAAAGUGCUAAUUUCUUUAACAUAUAAAGGGCUCCUAGGAAUUAAUAAAAGGAAGACCAACAACCCAAUAGAAUUCUGAGUAAAGGAGAUGAAUUGGCAGUUCAGAGAAUAGGAAAUGGAAAGGACUCUUAAACAUGUAAAAUAAUGCUUAUCAUCAUUCUGAGUAAGACCAAUAUAAAUUCAAAUUACACAAAGAUACCAUUUUUUCACCAAUCGGACUUGUAAAAAUACAAGUUUGAAAAUAUGUUCUGUUGGCAGGAUUCUACAAAGGGCAAUCUAAUACGUUUAUGUGUAUCACAGAUACGUCCAUGCCUGUGAAUUCAUUUGGAAAGAUCUCCAAGAUAUACACAACAAAGGUAAGCUAUGUAUAGUAGACUAUGAAAAAUAACCUACCUUUUAUGUAAAAGGGAGACAAAAAGGAAAACCUAUAUUUAUAUUAUUUGCCUGAUAUGCAACAAAAUCUGGAAAGAUAUGCUAAGAAAAGUGGUGGGAACUGGGCAGAUGACAGGGGUGGAAAGAAGACUUCACUACAUAUCUUUCAUUUAUUAUUAUUACUUUUGAGAGAGAGAGAGAGAGAGAGAGAGAGAACGAGCAGGAGAGAGGGAGAGAGAGAGAGAGAAAGGGAAUCUUAAGCAGGCUCCAAGCUGAGUGGGACCUGAUCUCAUUACCCUGAGAUCAUGGCCUGAGUGGAAAUCAAGACACUCAACUGACAGAGCCACCCAGAUUCCGUUUCACUGCAUUUAUUUUUAUAUUCUGUGAAUUUUUAAUUUUUGAAUGUAGCCCCAACUUUAAAAAAAUCUUUUCGAUAAACAAGUAUGUUAAAAAAAAAAGAAGAUGGAUGGGGCGCCUGGGUGGUUCAGUCAGUUAAGUGUCUGACUCUUGAUUUUGGCUCAGGUCAUGAUCUCAUAGUAGUGAGAUCGAGCCCCAUGUCUGGUUUUGAGCUGAGUGUGGAGCCUGCUUGAGAUUCUUUCUCUCUCUCUCUCUGUCUCUGCCUCUCUCUCCCUCUCCCCUUUCUCCCCCAUCUCUUUCAAAAUAAAAAGAGAAGGUGGCUAAUUUGUAUAGGCAAUCAAUAUUGACUGACAUAGCAUGUAUUAAUUUCUAAUCAGAUAAAAAACAAUUAAAAAAAUAAAGACAACCAUCUCCCAACAUAGAGACCUUUAUUCCUGACACACAGUAGGUAGAACAGUCUUCUACUUUGCUACAGUUUUGACUCUGCUGGAGAGUUUACCAAUACUUUACCAAAGCCAAAUUCCAUCAGUGCAUUACUUUUGUAACUUUUUCUUAAUCUAUGCCCUUUAUAUAACAUAGCAUCUACCUGUGAAGGCCUGUUUAUUAUUAUUAAAAAUAAUAGUGCAUCAUAAUUCCAUCACUCAGAAUAGUGGUGGCUUCAGAAUUUUUGUGUAGGAAGAGCUUAAAGGCAAGGAACUGGUUGGAGGUUGACAAUUAGGGAGGUGUGUUAAAGUCUCAUGUACAAAACACAUUUUCUUUAAAUUGAGCCAUGGUGAGACUUUGGAUGGUUCCAUCCCUGGGCAAGUACCUCCCCCCCCCCCACCCCAGUUUUCAAGCUGCCCCAGUUGAUAGCAUGGAGCACAGAGACAAAUUGUCCCAGACAAACCUUGCUCAAAUUACAGAUUUGUAAAGAAAAUAAAUGAUUGCUGUUGUUUUCUGUUACUAAGUUUGCGGUGGUUUGCUACACAGAGCCCAGAUCCCUUUUAUCCAGCCAAUGCAUGCAUCCUCCAGCUGCUGUGAAUGUGGGCUGCUAACUGUUUACAGCUGCUCCCUUCUCCAGAGAACUGCCCUGUUCUGGCUGGAGUCACAAGGGAGGUCACGUCCAGCACCCCCACCCCAGGGGCAGCCUGCAGCCAAUGACUGAUUGGUAAAAAAAAAAAAAAAAAAAAAAAGGUGGUCCCCUUCCCUCAAGGCAGAAUUGAUGCUAUGGUACAAUUCACACUCCAGUGCUUCCUAUUGGGUUAGACUACAGCAAGAUCCCCAGUGAGGCUGCCUCCUUGUCUAGCUACUUUCCCUACCCCAUCCUCUUCUCUCUUUCCCUUUCUCCUGAAAGCUUCAUCAGUGCAUCACAUGGGCUGUAAUCCUUGUCUCAAGCUCUGCAUCUAGGUGUUACCUUAAACAGGCAUUAAGGGAAGUUUUAAGAAGUGUAGGGGAGAAAUCUUUCCAAGCCAUCUCUUGAUGCCUCGCCUUCCCAGAGAUACCUUGGUUAAUAUUUUGGUGUGUGUGAAAUUAUCUAAUACUUGUAGAGCAUGUAGAACGUUCCCUGGCAAAUAGUAAGCACUCAAUUACCGCUAGCCCUUAUUAUCAUAUUCCCCCAGUGCUUUUUCUGUAUUUAAUAAUCAUAUCUAUUUAUUAAGCACAUACCAUGGGUCAGGCACCGUUCUGACGUAUUUCGCGUACAAUUCAAUUAGCCCUCACAGUAGUCCCAUCUAGUGGGUACUAUCGUCUCAAACGAGGCAACUGAGGCUCAGACAGGGUAAGUAACUGAUCCGAGGAUGUACAGCAAAAAACUGGCAGAACUGGAUGAGUUAUAUAAAUGUCUGCAUUAUAUCUUGAUCAUCAUUUCAGUGAUAACCUCUCUGUGGCCAACUGCUUCAGUGUGGGGCUGGAGGCUUUGCUGCUUUAAAGAACUGCAAGCUUUCAUAGUAAUGCACUCCAGCUGUGGCUAUUUCCACCCUGUCCUGGGAACUUCCCUCCUCAUAAUCUCAGAUGAUCUUUCUUCCUGGAAUGGCCUCACCUCUUCUCUCUACUUGUCCCAAUCCUAACCGUCCUUUAAGAGUUACAUCAAAUCUUAUCUUUCCAUGCAGUUUGCCCUGAUUUCUGUUGUACUUGCUCAUCUCUUCUGUAAAGACCUCUUACAACAUUUGCCGGAUGUCCAAGUCGUUUUGGUCCCUGAUAGUGGCCUGACACAUUCCCUUUCAAUAGAGGUUAUGUUUACGGACGGGCCUGUUUCCGGGAGGUGGACUGCAAGCUUUUUAAGGACAGGAUCAAGACUUAGUUGUUUGUUAUUUCUCUAGUAUCUAACGCAGUGCUUGCCACAAAGUAGAAUUCUUAACAAAAAUGUGUUCGUUGGAUAAAUGAAUCAAUAAGCUAUGUUAUGGGUGUGUGUGUGUUUCCUGUGUUUUUGUCUGGAUUGUAAGAUCCCUCAGGCCCAGACCCGCUUUUCAACGUUUAUUUAUUUUUGGGACAGAGAGAGACAGAGCAUGAAUGGGAGAGGGGCAGAGAGAGAGGGAAACACAGAAUCGGAAGCAGGCUCCAGGCUCUGAGCCAUCAGCCCAGAGCCUGACGCGGGGCUCGAACUCACGGAGCGCGAGAUCGUGACCUGGCUGAAGUCGGACGCUUAACCGACUGCGCCACCCAGGCACCCCAAGACCCGCUUUUCAAUGUCUUUUGUGACCUUCGUGUUCAGCAAAUGGUUGGUCCAGGGCAGAAAUUUCAUGAAACUGAACAGGAACUGUCUGGCCCAAAGAAUUGGUCACACUUCGGUCUUGCUCUGGGAAAAGGACGGCUCUCUUUCAAAGGGAAUCAGUCCCAUGUGACAUCCUACGUGGAAUUAGAGGAAUUUUGAAUCUCUGAGUUUGUUGCAUGGCCUGCCCUAUGUGUGCUAUUUCCAUAACUCUGCAUGUGACCAAAUGUCCUUGACUUGACCUUGUGGGAAUGUGUAAACCACGAGCUUCAAAGAGGGAUGUUUGCGGGAGGAGGGGAUCAUGUGACGUGGAACAAUCUUUGUUCGCAAUUCCCUGACUCAGGAGUGAUUUCUGAGAAGUGGCAAGAGGUGACUCUACAGAGAGCCUUGCCGGCCCCUACAAAGACAAGACUUUUUAUGAGGAUGGCACUCUGCCAGCCUGACAGGAAGUAGAAAACAAAGGGGCAGCUGACUCCAGGUCCCAUCCUGACCAGCAACAGCUUUUUAUCGGCUAAUUUUUUAGCAUAAAGCUUCUCCUUCAGGAGUUGAAAGGUGAGCUAAAGGAACGCUGGAAUGUUCCUUUGUACUGGAAGGCCAAAUUCAAUUAUUUCUAUAAAUAAAAACUAAUUGUUAAAAUGCAUCAAAGAGCUUACAAUUCAGUCUCUCAGUGCACACUUUUCGUCGUAAACUAUCUGACUCUCCUCAAGUUUAUCCAUUUUGUAAACACACAUGAUCAAUAUUAGGGUUUGUUCAAAGACACAUGUAUUUAUUUUCAAAGAAUAGGAAAAAAAGCAGUGAGGUACGGGGGGGUUAGGAAAGUUCAUUUUGCCCUGGAGAAUAUUUCAACCUUGCUUUUCAAAUGGGGCGCCCAGAUAGCUUCAUGUUCAACCUCAAGGUCACUGUGUGCACACUGCUUUAAGCCAGAAAAGAUGAUGGCGGCUCCUGGGUUUGGGGUCACGGUUGGGAUAGGGUAGGGAGAAAUUCUGGCCUCCACAGCUGUAGGAAGUGCUUGUUCGCUCUUAAUUUUGUUUACUUAAGAAGAGAAAAAGAAGUCCACGUAUCUCUUUGAAGCCCUGUGGGACUGUUUUCACUGUGAGCACACAGAGAAAGCCCAUGAUUGUUCCUGGAAUGCUGGUCUCACCAUUUAUUGUCCUUGGAUUAAAGCCUGCUUUGCAUUUGGGAUAAAGAUUCAUUCAUUCCUGUGCCAAGAAAUAAAGAAUUCUAUUGUCUUCCUGCCCAAAUUGUUUCAAGACGAUCUUUCUCUCUGAGACCGACAAGCCCAGAUAGCAUCUUGCUUGGCUCCACGAUCUGGUCUCCAAAGGAGAUGUUGUGCCCUUUUUUUUGUCAGAGCUUUCUCACCACAAUACCGUUACACAGAGCAGACCUGUUCCCCUCAGUACCAGGAGGCUCGCUCCGUUCACAAGGAUCCUUGACAACCUCUGCAGAUUGCCAACCCAGACUUACUGUAAUUCUGCACCACAAGAAUGGUUGUGUCACUUCAGUAGACAGAGUGAUGAUGAGCUCUCGGGGGCUGCUAACUCGAUCCACAGGGAAAAAUGAGAGUAGCUUUUUUGCAUGCUGCGGCAUGCUUCAUCCCAGAAUAUUCCUUGAUUAUUCACAAGAAUAAAGGCCAAUUUAAUUAAAAUGAACACAGAAGUGUGAAAAAUAAAGGGCAAAGAAAUUCUAAGUAAGCUGGGUAUCUCUUCAGAGGAAAACCACCCCCGGGAUUGCAGCCUAAACCAAUUCCUUUUUCAUUUCUAACAGAAUGUUCUUAUUCAUUUAGAGGGUUUAAUUCCGAUCGUCGUGACAGUGGGCACGUCGUCACUUCCACAUCUGCCCUCCUAAACCUUCCUCACUCCCCUCAAGCCUUUGCCUGCCAGCAGACCUACUGGCCUCCAACCUGUGAGGGAAGGUUGAGGCUGUCCCCCACCGUGUGCCUCUCUCUUUUCCUCCAGUUUCAGGCAAAGGCAGCCUUUUUCCAGGCUACUGCUGGUCCCUACUCUUGUGCUCUUCAUCCAAAGGUCUCCUCCAGGAGCUUGUCCCAAGUUAUCCCUGCUCUGUAUUGUCAUAUCCUUUUCUCCAUGAACCGGUCCAUUCUCAUAUCCUAUGAAAAUGCUUAAGCCACUCUUAUUUUUUAAAAACAUUCUCUUGGGGGCACCUGGGUGGCUCAGUCAGAUAAGUGUCUGACUCUUGGUUUUAGCUCAAGUCUUGGGAUUGACCCCUACAUUGGGGUCUGCACUGGGCAUGGAGACUGCUUGGGAUUCUCUCUCUGUCUCUUUCUCUCUCUCUCUCUACGCUCCUUCCCCACCUGCACUGUCUUGCUCUCAAAGUAAAUAAAUAAGCCUUAAAAAAAUUCUCUUAGAGCACCUGGGUGGCUCAGUUGGUUAGGCAUCUGACUCUUGACCUCGGCUCAGGUCAUUACUGCAUGAAGCCUGCUUGGGAUUCUCUCUUUCCCUUUCUCUCUGCCUCUCUCUCUCUCUCUUUCUCUCUUUCAAAAUAAAUAAACAAACAAAAAAAAUAAAAACAUUCUUACUCAACCUGUGUCUUUUCCCCCUUCAUCCCAGCUACUUCCCUUUCUCUUCCCUUCCCUUUCCAGAUCACAUCCUACAAAGGAUACUUUAUAUUUGACAUUUUACUUCUAACUACACUUAGCCAUUAUACUUCCCAUGACUGUGGUUUCCUCUUUAGACCUUGAACCUCCCCUACAACAACUUCCCCGUGCCCAGCCCCCAAUUCCAUGCCAGCCCCUUAUUACCAUGCCAGAAUGGAAUAAAUGUUCCUCUGAAUGAAUGAAUGAACUCUUACCAUUUCUAGUUGGAUAAGGGUAACUUACAAAUCUCAAGUAUUGACAACUGAAGAGCUUUUUCCUAGAAGAUAAAUCUGCUAUGAGAAAGGAACUAAAAGUCAUUGGGUUUACCCAAUAUUUUUAAUAAUCAAGAAUUUGAAUUUUCUCUUAUUUAGGGUUUGUGGAGUGUUUACUGAGUAUGAGAUAGCACAGAAACACACCCUGCUGUGAGUCAAAAUUACAAUAGCUCUGUCAGGGUAAGUGCUUUUAAUGUUCUUUAAUAUUUUGCUUAGAGAACAGUUAAGCAAUUUGAAUUUACAAGUUUUGCAAAUGGAUUUGAAUUUGACUUUUAGGUACUGGCAACACAACUAACUUGAAUGUGGGGUGUGCUGUUUUACUUUUCGCGAGCACAAGUUCACUCGCUGGUGGCUGUGAGGAACACAUCCUCAGGUCUACCUCCGUAGAAUAUUUUUGCCUAAAGGUGACGGAGGAAAGACGCAUCAUACCUACCACCAUUUACUGAGCACUUACUCUGGCACAUUCUACAUACAACAUUUACAUAUUUACAACAUUCACUUAAUAUAUACAACAAUCUCUGGAUGCAAGGGUUCAUGUACAAAAGGGGAAACUGAGGCCCUACACAUGCCAUUCAGUAGAAAGAUUCCUGCCCAACUGUGGAUUUUUAUCAAUGUGUUUUGGUGAUGUCUUUGUACAGAGUAGGGUGAGGAGGCAUAGGUGCUUGCUUGCGAAUCCUUGCCAAUCCCUGGCCUCUAAGUACCUGGCAAUCAUCCUGGGUCUUGCUGUACCCAGAAACCUUCAUCCUUUAUAACUACCUGGGAUAAAGACUUGGUUGCGUCAUUCUACUGUGAUUCUUUUUUCCCCCUUUUAUUUUAUUUUAUUUUAUUUUAUUUUAUUUUAUUUAUUUUAUUUUAUUUUAUUUAUUUAUUUAUUUAUUUUUGAGAGAGAGAAAGAGAGGGUAUAAGUGAGCAAGGGGUAAAGAGAGAGAGAGAGAGAGAAAGAAGGGGGGCUCAUCCAAAGCGGGGCUCAUGCUCACCCAGUGAGGGACUUGAACUCAUGAACCGUGAGAUAAGACCUGAGCCGAAGUUAGAUGCUUAACCGACUGAGCCACCCAGGUGUCCCCAUUCUACUGUGAUUCUUACAUCCCUAGUUUUCAUGCUCCCUGACUACCUACGUGUCAGUGUAUUUCUUGCGCUCAAAUUUAACCCCUCUGAAAUUCAACUUGAACCAGAUGUUCUUUUCAAGGUCAAAUACCAAUCUUCCAAUCUUAUAAUCUAUGUUAGUAAGUAAUUGGAGGAGGGUUAGGGAAUCUUUAUCUUUCCCAUUCAUAUUGAAAAUUAUCAUAAGUGUGUUCUUGAAACUAUGUCAUACUGUGCCAGUAUUGUUUAUCCAAAGGAUGGGUCUUAGAAUAAAUUUCAAAGCAUGAAGUGGGAAAGGGUCAUGCCACAGUUGGCUGCAAGAUAUGCAAUUUUAGGAAAGUAUGAGGCCUUGAGUUGGGAAAAAGCCUCAGAUUAGCUAGAAUAGUGCUCUCCAAUAGAAAUAUAAUAUUAGCCCCAUAGUUAGAUGUUUAAUUUAAACCUUUCUAGGAGACACAUUGCAAAAAAAUAAAAAGAAACUUGAUUUUAAAAUAUACUUAAUUUUAAAAAUAUACUUUAGGCUAAUUGAUUUAAAAUAUUAUUUAACAUAUAAUCAAUAUAAUAAGUAUGAGGUAUUUUGUAAUUAUUUAGUACCAAGUCUUUGAAAUCUUGUGUGUAUUUUACAUACUCCACUAGCCACAUUUCAAGAGCUCUAUAACUAGACGCUACCCUAUUGUAUAGCACAGCUCUAGAAUCCCAGGGGAGAAAGAAAACCCAAAGUUAUCAAAUCCUACCAUUCUUUGAAGGCUGAAACCCAUAGAGAGCAUCCAGGCUAAGUAGCUGCUUGGCCCCUGAGUGAGCCUAUCUAGCCACAGAACUGCUUCCCAACAUUGGGAUUCUCUGGCCUCUAGCCCGUUUUUGGACUCUGAACCCCCACGUUGAGAGAGAACAAACCUAAUACCCCUUUCAUAGGAGAACGUUUCGACUACAACUACCUUAAGACGAUCAAUGUAGUCCCUGGGUUUGUUCUUUCGGUUAAGCUUUCCUAAUGUUUUCAACUGCUCUCUGUGUGAAGCAGAGGAUUUCCAGAGUCAGAAGGCAUGGAUGUGAUUGUCUCUUAAGUGUUUUCCACCUCGAAUCUUCUAUGACCCCAAAUAUUUAGCUGCCAACUUAAAGACUCUGCGUAUAGUAGAAGUGAAAACGCUGCAAAGGAAGAAAGAGGCCAAGUAAAUUGAUGAGUCAUGUGUUCCUGUGCACAUAUUAUGGGACCUGGAACCAAUUAAAAGGGAAAAUUGUGGUGUUUUGGGGUAAGUCCACGCUUCCCCUUGUUGUGGUUCUUAACUGCCCGUGUAAUGUACUUUUCUCUUUCGGGCUACUAUAUCUCUUCACCUGGUCCACAUAUACAGAGCCCACUGCCCCAAAUGUCUCAGAAAACAAUGAAUGAGUAGGCAUUUAUUAGUGUGAAUUCAAGCUAGUGAGUUUCUCUCCCAAGGAUACUUGCAAUUAAAACCUUAUCUCUAUAGGUAUUAGAGAGGUAAGACACCUUUCUUAUCCAUUAAAUAAUUGUUUUAAGCAAAAAAUCGUAUUUAGGCCUUUGGUUUCUCUUAUAGAUGUUGAACAAAUAACAUUACUUAAGCAGAACAUACCUCCUUUCUUCACUUUAUCUAGGCCUUUUAUCUGUUUAUUUAACAGCUGUUAGAUUAUAAAAGGUCACUAUCUCUAGUUUAUGGUAGCAGGUUCAGCAGUAAGAACUCAACCAAGAACUUCCAAUGGAUUUGCCCAAAUUCUUCAUUGCUACUAGAAAAACAAUUCACAUUAUUACAUAUACACAAAGAUGGAGGGACCCUUAGAGGUGGAAACAGCAAUCAUAUCCUAAAGGAAAUAGUUGGCAAAUUUUGGCCAAAUACAUAAAGGAUAUCCUUUGUUUUUUGCAGAAUGGACGAAUUCAGGACAAUUUAACAUAUCAAUUCAGGGAAGAUGUAUGAAAGCAUUUACUAAUGUUGAUUAUAAAUUUUUUUUCCAAUAAUACAGUCUCCUAAAGAACUUUAAGGGAUAACUUGAUUUACAAAAUACAAUUUACCUUUUCAGAAACACAUUUUUUGAGUAGACUUAGACCUACCAUUAGUACCUAUUUGUAACUGUUCUAACAUCCCAGAAUUAACAUUCAGAAGACUCCAGCCAACAAGCUCAACAUCAAGAAGUCUGUGAAAAACAGUCCAAGAUAGCAGAAACCUAAAUAAAGGGAGCUGGAGAAUAGUAAUGAAAGAGAAGAGAUGUGAUAAAAAUAGGAUAAAAGGAUUCACUCAUCUAUUCUCCAGCCCUUUUCCAGAAAGAAAAAUAAAAAAAAGAUGGUGGUAAAUAACACUCAGAGAUUGUGUUUUCAAAAGAUGGCCACAUCUCCCAUUCCACAUGCUUUUCUAUAAUGGGACCUUGUUAUGCCCUCAUCAAUAGGUGGGGUCUAAUUCCCCUUCUGCUUGAAUGUAGAAUGGUAUUAUGACUCAUUUGGAACCCACAGAACUGGGUGGAAUACUGUUUGCAUGACUUUUAUUUGUUUGCUUUCUUGAAAACUUAGUGGAUACUAUAUUUACCUUGCAUUGCUGCAUGAUGUGUCCUUUUAAUUUUUUUUAAAUUAAGCUUUUUAAUUUUGAUAUAACUGUAGAAUCACUUAUGGUUGUAGGAAACAGUAGGGGGUUCUGGUAUACUUUUACCCCUAAUGGUAACUGUAAACAUCUUGCAAAACUACAGUUCAACAUCAUAGUGCAAUAUAGAUAUUGGCAUUGAUACGGUCAAGAUACAGAACACUCCUCUCACCACAAGGAUCAUUAAUGUUGCCCUUUUACUGUCAUAUCUAUCUCCUUCCCAUCUACACCCCCUUCUUAGCCCUUGAAACCACUCAUCUGUUCUCCAUUUAUAUAAUUGUGACAUUUUGAGGAUAUUAUAUAAAUAUAAUUAUAUGGUAUAUAAUCUUUCAGAACUAGCUUUUUUUCACUCAGCAUAAUUCUCUGGAAAUUCUCUCAGAGGACGUUGCAGGUAUCAGUAGUUUGUUUCUCUUCAUUGCUGUGAUGUAUUUCAUGGUAGGAUGCAACACAGUUUGUUAACCAUUCCACUGCUGAGGGAUAUCUGAGUUGUUUGCAGUUCUUGGCCAUUAUUUUUUUAAGCUUAUUUAUUUAGCUUGAGAGGGAGAGAGAGGGAGAGAGAGCUCAAGUAGGGGAGGGGCAGAGAGAGAGAGGGAGAGAGAGAAUCCUAAGUAAGCUCCCUGCUAUCAGCAUGGAGCCCAAUGUGGGGUCGAUCCCAUGAACUGUGAGAUCAUGACCUGAGCCAAAAUUAAGAGCCGGAUGCUUAACCAACUGAGCCACCUAGGUACCCCCCAGUUUUUGGCUAUUAUGAAUAAAGCUGCUAUGAACAUUCAUGUACCGCUUUUUGUGUGAACAUAGGUUUACACAAAUGCCUAGGAAUGCAAUUUCUAGUAUACAGAAAUAUAAUUGCCUUUACACGGGAAUUCUGCAGAUUUGUUAAAUGUACAUAAUAGUUCAAACAGUUGGUGUGUGUGUGUGUGCAAACACGCGCGUGCAUGAGUGUAUGUGUGUGUGUGCAUUUUAGUUUCCCUGGGAUUUUCUAUGCAGGCAAUCAUAUUAUCUGCAAACAGGGACAAUUUUAUUUCUUAAUUUCUGGUCUAUAUACACUUUAUUUCCUUGAUUGCCCUUUUGCAUUGGCUAGAAUUUCCAGCAUCACGCUGAGCAAGAGUGAUGAGAGUGGAUAUACUUGCCCUGUUUCCAAUCUUAGGAGGAAAGUACUCUGUUUUUCCCUAUUAAGCCUAAUGGUAGCUGUAGGCAUUUUGUAGAUGUUCUUUAUCAAUUGAGGAAAUUCCUCUUUAUUUCUAGUUUUCUGAGAGGUUUUUAAAAACUCUUUUUAAUGUUUAUUUAUUUUUGAGAGACAGAGACAGAGCGUGAGGAGGCAAGGGGCAGAGAGAGAGGGAGACGCAGAAUCUGAAGCAGGCUCCAGGCUCUGAGCUGUCAGCACAGAGCCAGAUGUGGGGCUCAAACUCACAAACCACAGGAUCAUGACCUGAGCUGAAGUCCGCUGCUUAACCGACUGAGCCACCCAGGUGCCCCAUAGUUUUCUAAGAGGUUUUUUUUAUAUCACAAAUAGAUGUUGGAAGUUUAAUAUGGUUUUUGCAUCAGUUGAUAUGAUCAUUUGAUAUUUCCUCUUUCACUUGUUAAUAUGGUAGGUUACACUGAUUGAUUUUCCAAUAUCAAACUAGUCUUGCAUUCCCAGAAUAAGCUUCACUUGAUCAUGAUAUAUAAUUACUUUUAUAUUUUGCUGAAUUCUACUUGUUAAUAUUUUGUUAAGGAUUUUUGUCUAUAUUCAUGAGGCAUACUGGUCUAUAGUUUUUUUUUUUUUUUAAUUCUGUGUUUGUCUAUCUGUGUAUUUGUCUGUGUUUAAUCUGUGCAAUACUGUCUCUAUUAAACAAAUUAGAAGUGUUCAUCUCCCUUCUAUUUCCUGGAAAAGAGUGCGUAGAAUUAUGUUAAUUCUUCUUUAAACAUUUUGUAGAAUUCUCCAGUGAAAUCAUCUAGAUCUGGAGAUUUUUUUUUUUAUGGCAGAGGGCAGUUUCUAAAUUACAACUUUAAUUUCCUUACUUAUAGGGCUAUUCAAAUUGUCUAUUUCAUUCUGGGUGAGUUGUGGUGGUUUUUAAGAAAUAGUCCAUUUCACCUAAGUUGUCAGCUUUAUGUGUAUAAUGUUUGUAGUGUUACAUUAUUAUUCAUUACUUUAUUAUUCUUUUAGUAUCGCCAAUGAUAUCCCCUGUUUCAUUCCUAGUAUUGGUAAUUUGUGUGUUCUCUUAUUUUUUAAACCAGUCUUGCUACAGGUUUGUUAGUUUUAUUGAUGUUAUCAAAGAACCAGGUCUUUGUUUCAUUGACGUUACUAUUUUUCUGUUUUUAGUUCCAUUGACUUAUGCUCUUAUCUUUAUUAUUUCCCUUACAAUUGCUUUGGUUUAUUUUGCCCUUCUUUUCCUAGAUUUUUGAGGUGGGAGCUUAGAAUAUUGAUUUGUGAUUUUUCCACUUUUCUAUUUUUUUAAUGUUUGUUUAUUUUUGAGCAAGAGAUAGAGACAACGUGAGCAGAGAAAAGGCAGAGAGGGACACACACAAUCUGAAGCAGGCCUCAGGCUCUGAGCUGUCAGCACAGAGCCAGACGUGGGGCUGCAACUCACAAACUACAAGAUCGUGACCUGAGCUGAAGUCAGACGUGUAACCAACUGAGUCACCCAGGUACCCCGUGCCACUUUUCUGAAGUAUUCAUGUAGUGUUAUAAAAUUCCCUCUCUGCACUGCUUUCACUUUGUGCCAUAAGUUUCAAUAUGUUAUUUUUUCAAAUUUUCAUUCAGUUUAAUGUAUUCUUUUAUUCCCUUGAAAACUCCCUCUUUGAUCCAGGGAUUAUUUCAAGAUGUAUCGUUAGGUUGCUAGAAGUUUGGAGAUUUUCUUGUAAUUUUUCUUGUUAUUGGUUUCUAGUUUGACGACAUUGUAGUUGGAGAUCAUUUUCUGUAUGAUUUCAAUUAUCUGAAUUUUUUGAGAUUUCCCUAUUGUUCAGGAUAUGGGUGAUCUUUGUGUAUGUUCUAUGGGCACCUGAAAAAUGUAUAUUCUACUGUUUUGGAGUGGAGUGCUCUAUAGCUUUUGAUUAGAUUCUGUUGGUUGAUAGUGUUGAGUUCUUCUAUAUUCUUCUUGCUUUUCUGUCUAGUUGUUCUAUUAGUUGCUAAGUGAAGCAUGUUGAAAUCUCCUACUAUAAUCGUGGAUUUGUCCAUUUCUCCUUUCAGUUCUUGCUUCACAUAGUUUGCAGCUCUGUUCUUUGGUCCAUAUACAUGUACGGUUGCUAUGUCUUCUGGGUAGAUUAACCUUUUAUCAUCUUAUAGUGCCUUUCUCUGUCUCUGAUAAUUUCUCUUCUCUGACUUUUACUUGAUUUUAUACUAAUAUAGACACUCCUGCUUCUUAAUCUUUUUUUUUUUUUUUUUUGCUUAAUAGUUCUAUAACAUACAUUCUUUUACUUUUAACCUGCCCAUAUGAUUAUAUUUUGAGGUGAGUUUCUUGUGAUAGCAUAUAAUUGGGUCAUGUUCUUGGUACAUUCUGUCAAUUUCUGUCCUUUAUUUGCUGUUUUCAUACCAUUUGUUUCAGACCAUUUAAGGUAAUACAUUGAUAUGUUAGGGUACAAGCCUGCCAUUUUAUUUUUGGUUUUCUGUUUAUUCUCUCUGCCCAAUCAUUUCUCUGUUUUCUUUUUCCUGCCUUCCUGAGGGUUACUUGAAUAUUUUUAUAAUUCUUUUUUUAGUUACUUAUGGUGUUUUUGAGUGUGUCUUUUUGUAGAGCUUUUUUAAGUGAUUGUGUUAAGUGUAUAUAUACAUAAUACACUCUACUGGUGUUAAUCAGUUGGAGUUAAGUGUGGAAACUCUACCUCCUUGUAAAUCUCUUUACCUUCUGUCAUUUAUAAUUGUCUUAAAUAUUUCCUCUAUAUACAUUUAGAACCACACCAAAUAGCAGUAUAAUUUUUGUUUCAACCUUAAAACAUAAUUUAGAAAACUCAAAAGAAGAAAAGCCUAUUGUAUUUAUGCAUAUUUUUGCUUACCAGGUUCCUUCGUCCUUUUUGAUUCUCCAAAGUUCCCUCUUUUUUUUUUAAGUUUAUUUAUUUAUUUUGAGAGAGAAAGAAAGCAUGAGUGGGGGAGGGGGAGAGAGAGAGGAGAGAGAGAAUCCCAAGCAGGCUUCACAUUGUCAGAGUGGAAUCUGAUGCAGGGCUUAAACUCAAAGACAACAAGAUCAUGACCUGAGCUGAAGUCGGAUGUUCAACUGACUGAGCCACCCAGGCACCCCCGAAAGUUCCUUCUUUCAUUGUUUCCUAUUUAGAGAAUUUCUUUUUUUUUUUUUUAACAUUAUGCUCCAUUAUUAUUUUUUUUUUAAUUUUUUUUUUCAACGUUUAUUUUAUUUUUGGGACAGAGAGAGACAGAGCAUGAACGGGCGAGGGGCAGAGAGAGAGGGAGACACAGAAUCGGAAACAGGCUCCAGGCUCUGAGCCAUCAGCCCAGAGCCUGACGCGGGGCUCGAACUCCCGGACCGCGAGAUCAUGACCUGGCUGAAGUCGGACGCUUGACCGACUGCGCCACCCAGGCGCCCCUACUCCAUUAUUAUUUUUUAAGAGAAUUUCUUUUAGCCAUUUUUGUUAGGGUGGGAUUGCUAUUGAUAAAUUUUCUUAGUUUUCUUUCAUCUGAGAAUGUCUUGAUUUGCUCUUCAUUCUUGAAGGAUAUUUUUUUGGGUAAAGAAUUCUUUUCUUUCAAUUUAAUUGUUUCUCACUAUAGGUAAAAUAUCAUUUUCUCUAACUGCUUUUAAGAUUUUUUUUCUAUGUCUUCAGUUUUCAGAUAUUUGAAUUUGUUGUGUCUUGGUGUGGAUUUCUCUGGAUUUAUCUUAUUUAAGAUUUGUUUAACUUCUUUAGCUUGUAAAUUUAAGUCAUUUGUCAAAUUUGGAAAAUUUUCUGACAUUUUAAGUACUUUUUUCAGCCCUGUCUGCUUUCUUCUCUAUUUCUAGGACUCCAGUGACUUCAAUGAAUAUUAAAUUUUUUGUUAUAGUGCCACAAGUCACUAAGGCUUUGUUCAUUUAUUUCCAGUCUAUUUUCUUUCUGUUAUUCAAAUUGGGUGAUUGCUAAUGUUAUAUUUUCAAAUUAAUUGAUUCUUUUCCUGGUGUCUUCUAUUUUAUUGCUAAACUUAUACACUGAGUUCUGUGCCCAAGUCUUAUUGAGAAAUAAUAGAUAUACAUCACUGUAUAAGUUUAAGGCACAUAGCACGAUUGUUUUAUUUACGUGUAUUGUGAAAUAAUUACCUCAAAAAUUCGGCUAACAUCCAUUUUCUCAUAUAGCUAAAAUAAAAAGAAAAAAGAGAAAAAGGAAAAAAUUUUCCUUGUGAUGAGAACUCUUAGGAUUUAUUCUCUUAACAACUUUCCUGUAUAUCAUACAGCAGUGUUAACUCUAGUUCGCAUUUAGAACAUUACGUUCACAGUACUUACUUAUCUUAUACAUUGGAUUUUAUUUUGAUUAUUUUACUUCUCCAUUCUAAGAUGUCCAUUUGCUUCUUCUUUAUAUCUUCUGUUUCUUUGAUGAAACUUUUUAUUUUUGCAUUUGUUUCAAGCAUGUUUAUAAUUGCUCAUUGAAACAUUGUUGUUAUAGCUGCUUUAAAAUAUUUGUCGGAUAAUUCUAACACCUCUGUCAUCUCCAUGUUGGGAUCUAUUGCUUACUUAUUUUUAUUCGCUUCGGGAUCUUUCCAGUUCUUGAUAUGACAAAUGAUUUGCCAUGGAAAUCUGGACAUUUUGAGCAUUAUAUUAUGAGACAAUACAAUGGUUUGGCAAGUGUAGACCAAGCUGAGUUUCAGCCUUUGCUGUCCCAGGUGCUCUUGGGAAGAUACAACCUACAUAGUUUUAUGCAGUCCCUUGAUAAUGGCCUCCAAAGACUGCUGCCUUCCCACUGUGUGUGAGGUACAGCGUUGGCCUUGGGCUCAUGGCCACUCUCACCAAGGACCUACUCCUGUAAUGCCUAGGGCAGAUCUGGGGGGAGACAGGAUUUGGCUGGUUACAGAUUGGAUCAGGAAUCUUGGCUCACAAAUUCCUCUCUUCUCUCGCCAGAAGAAGUCCCCAGUCCCCUCUUCUAUCUCUUUGUCAUUUCUCCUUGAGAUUAGUCACCAGGCCAGUAUUAAAGAAAGUAGACAAGCUGGCUGUCUUUCCCAGAAUCCUCCCCAUUUACAAGAGGUCUAAAUGGCAGGGGCUCUUCCGUCCUUGCUGCUUAUUUCCUUUGAGACGGCAACCAGAAGGAGGGGUGGCCGUUGAGGCAGGCAGGGAGAAUAAUGUUGUUGUUUAACACUGUUCAGCUCAGCAGAUGAAAGCCUGCAGGCCCUUGGCUGAGGAUAGCACAGAAAGGGACGGACAGAGCCAAACUUCCAUCAUUCCUCAUCAGUGUUUACAUCAGCAAGCCCUGGGCACUGCCCUGCUGGCAGCCUGGGUUCAAGUAGCUGUUGGCUCAUGAGCCUGACUGGAAAGAGAUUCCAGAUUUUGGAGGGAGUGGAGGGAAGUAAGAACAACAUGUCUUGUUCACUUGGAAGGUAUGGAGGCCUCUAGAGAGGCCAGAUGUACAGGUCACCUGGCUUCAGGGUGUUGCAGCCUCCCACACCCAGGGGCACACGUGCCAGGAGAAUUUCAGAUCUGGCGGUGAAAGAGGUUUUACAGUUAGGGUAUGGUUCAGCUUUCCUACCGCAGCUAGGGAAAAUGGGAUCCUUCCCAUUUAUAGGGAAACCAACCAAACCUGGCCUUAUCUUGGGUUGUACAGCUAGAAAAUAGAUUGCGGGGGUAGGAACGUAAGGUCGAAACACAGUCUUUGGUCCCCUCUUGUGCCCUCCUGGGAACACUCUGACAUCCUGGCCAGCCCGGACCAGCAUGAGCAGCACUGUGCUUGCCCGUUUGUCCCUUACCCACCAACCAAGCUCCUCUUCAAGAGUCGCCAGAAUCUAGUAAACCUAUUAUCCAGGGCUUACAUGUGUGGUACUGGUUAUUUAAAGCAAAUCAUUCCCGUUAAGAGCCAGAAUCGUCAGGGAGAAAGUAGCCAUGGAGAAGAGCACUUGAUUCAGCCUUUCUUCUUCUUUUUUUUUUUUUUUUAACAUUUAUUUAUUUUUGAGACGGAGAGAGACAGAGCAUGAACGGGGGAGGGUCAGAGAGAGAGAGGGAGACACAGAAUCCGAAACAGGCUCCAGGCUCUGAGCCGUCAGCACAGAGCCCGAUGAGGGGCUUGAACUCACAGACCGAGAGAUCAUGACCUGAACUGAAGUCGGACGCUCAACCGACUGAGCCACCCAGGCGCCCCCGAUUCAGCCUUUCAAUUCACUACAGAACCUGAUGAGAUGGAGAAGAAGGAAAUGGACAUUCAUUGGAGGAGACCACUUUAGAAAUUUAUUUUAUUUCAUGUUUCUGAAGCCGCUUUUUGUAAAAGCAUUUAUUACACGCUACUUGUUAGCAAAGUGUUCUACAUACGUUGUCCUAUUUAAUCUGCACAGCAACCCUCCGAGGUAGGCGCGAGGUGCUGUGGGUUUAUGGAUGAGUUUAGGGGGGGAUGCUUAUUUAGCGUCACCAGCCCAUGACGUGGCGUUGGAUUUAAACCCGGCGGUCGUCCCCCUGAGCUCUGUUCUCAACCCCUGCACUAUCUGCUUCUCAUGGUGGAACAGGAGAGACACGAGGGAGUUCUGGGAAGAAGCGGGGAGUGGAUUUGAUUGGCAAAACGGGUGCGAUUUACGUACAUUUUCUGCGGUCAGACAUGGCUAGGUGCUCAGUACCUCUUUGGGCACCUGUUGAUCUAACACUUAGCUAUUAUAUUAAUGUUACAGAAAGCUCGGCUGUAACCACGUCAACGAGAUCCCCCAAAUUCAGUUUCACGGGGUGUAGGGUCAGCUCAUUGCGAGGCUAAUGAAAUGACCCGGAUGAGUCUGCUCAUCACCAGCCCUGUUACUCCCCAAUUCCCAAAUUUAUAGGUGAGGUGGUUACACUAUUAUUAUUUGUCCAUGUCCUUUAUUAAUUUGUAUGUCCCCUGAGGGUGGGGUUGCUAGUGUUUAGCUCAGUUAAGUCCCUCAGUAAUUAAAGAAACUCCGGUUACCUCAAUCCCUUCAAGAGGUCCUCAGGUUGAGUUGGUGAAAUCAAAUUAUUUUGUGGUACUCCUUUCACAAUAGACACACGUGUCGAGUUAUUCACAUUGUACACUUUAAACGUCCACAAUGGUAUAUGUCAAUUAUAUCUCAAUAAAGCUGGGGAAAAGAAAAAAGGGAAAAACAAUGUCAGCCAUAUGAUUUUGAGUAAAAUUACAAAACAGGCAGGCGCAAGGCUCCCAUCGCGUCUUCAAACAGUCAAACUUGUUUUAAGAAUCUAAAGCAGUAAUUUAGAUUUAUGUUCUGGGACCCAAAUAAAAUCUCUGAAGUAGCAUUUUUUUUUAACCUGUAGGUUCAGAAAAUUUUAUGCAUUGCACAUAUGGGAGAAUUUCAUCCUUUGAAAUAUCCCAAGACUGAUAAAGUUUGCUUUAAACCAUAUACUUAAAGUCUCAUGAUUUCUAAAUUUGGACUGACAGGCAUUAAGGCAUGAUUUAAAGAUAAAUAAGGAAAAGUUCAGAAACCCAAGGUAGGCAGACUUGAUUUCCACAGUCAGCUUUUCUACUGAUUCUGUGACCUUGAAUGAACUGGCUUUCAAAGCCUUGGUUUUGUCAUUAUAAAAUGGAAGAAAAAAAUAGAACCCAUCAUCGGUGGUUGUUGUGAAAUUUAAUUGAGAAAGUCCAUGCAAAGUAUUUCCCGGCAUUAGUGUGUUCCAUAACUGUAAAAUUAGUAGGUGAAAUAAAUUAGUGGAAUUGCCUUGGUUAUUUCCAUUCAAAGCCUAUUUGUGUCCCCUAGGAAGGAGUAGGUGGCACAGGAGGAUGGGUGGUUGAAGGAAGCGUUGUGGUCUGUUUGUUGUGGGACAACCACAUGGAAAAGCUGCUUCAACAGGUUCCAUGAGUCAGUGGCGGAGUUGCAUAGGUAUUGUUAUGCCUGAAUGAAAUUCACUGCUCCCCCUGUCCACAUCAUAGAGAAAGGUACAUCCUCACAUUUUCUCUCAAUGACAGUUCUCCCUGUUUCUUAGUUUAGAAACCUGUUCUAUAGCAUAUACUUCUUUUCCAAAGACCACCUGAAAUAGUGUACGCUCAGAAAAAUCUUUUCUGUCUCUUGGAUUUUGUUUCUUGUAUCUGGUAGGCAAGCCAAUACUUUAAAAUGCUUUAAUGCAGGGAAGAACUGAUAUUUGUCAUUCUCAGUGUAUUCCCCAUUCCCAAGUGUUCGCUCUGAAAAGGUGUCCCCCUUGGAGACCUCUUGAAAUGUUGGGUCAUGUUAAACACAGCAUUGAUGCUUGUUGAGUGAGUCUGAAGGGUCUAGAUAUUGUUUUAGCUAGUCAGAGUUGUUGGGGACAGUUGGAUUUAAUAUUGGGUUCUUCAGGUAUUGUGUAUCCAAAUACCUGAUAUCUACCAGGUGAUAGGAGUUAUCUGUGGGAUCAGGGUGGCUAAGGUGAUCUAGAUGAAGUGUCAGAAAUUUUCCAUGCCAUUGACAAAGAUGGCAGGUCUUGAUCUACUGAUGGCUUCUGUGUAAUGCCCAAUAUUUCAUUGAUUUUUAUCUAUUUCUGGCUGGUUAAAUAGAUGAGUCUCAACAAAAUAGUACAGUAUUAUAAUUUUCGAAGAACGUGGUAGAAAUCAUGGGGGGUGGGAGGGAGGGGAGGGUGGGUGAUGGGUAUUGAGGAGGGCACCUUUUGGGAUGAGCACUGGGUGUUGUAUGGAAACCAAUUUGACAAUAAACUUCAUAUAUUGAAAAAAAAUAAACUUCAAAAAAAAAAAAAGAAAUCAUGUGAAGGCUGAUAAGAGUAGCAUGAAAAAUCCAGAACCUUGGGUUGGACAGUCUGUGGCUAGUUAGCUUGUAAUGAGGGUGAAGGUGUUUUUGAAUGAGAUUAAUAUUUGAAUUUCUAGACUGAAUAAAGAAAAUUGCUCUCUAUAAUGUGAGUAGCCCUCAUGUAAUCAGUUAAAGGCCUGAGUAGAACAAAAAUACUGACUUCCCUGUGAGUAGAGAGAAGAUUGCCACCUGAUUGAUAGAGCUGGAACAUUGGUCUUUCCAAGCCUUCAGACUUGGAUUCUUUUUGGAUCUUGGAUCUUGAACUUGCCAGCUUUCAAACUGGAACUCACACCAUUGACUCUCCUGGUUCUUAGGGCUUUGAUUUUGGACUGGAACUAUACAUCACCUCUCUUGGGUCUCCAGCCUGUUGAUGGCAGAUCUUGAACUUCUUAGCCUCUGUAAUCACCUGAGCCAAUCCCUUAUAAUAAAUCUCUUUCUGAGUAGAUAUAUACAUAUACCUUAUUGGUCCUAUCUCUGUGGAGAACCCUAACUAAUAAUACACUUGGUAAACUAAACAUACUUUUGUUUAGCCAUGGUAUUAUGUUCAGGCACUUGAUGAGUCAUUUAAAUUUGCUUUCCCACUUUAAGUAACUGCACCCCUAACUCUGACCUGCUGCCUAACUGUGAACUAGGAAAGAGAAUAUAGGUUUAUGAAGAUAUGUUUACACGACUCCCUAAUAUCCUUUAUGUGGAUUUAUGUGGAUUUUUGUUUAAGUUUUUGUUAAAAGGUUUUGUAUAUGACAAAUUAUAAAUUAGGUCUCCAGCUUGCAAAGUGUAAGUGUGAGAAUGUGUUUGAUCAAGUUUUGAAUAAAGGCUUACAGAAUACGUGAAAGACACAUUUAAUGUGAGAAUACUUUACAUAAAAUUCUGCUUUUGAGGUCUGAGAAUUAGAGUUAAGUCAAGUUAAAAGAAGUCUUUUAAGAGAGGUUGUCAAUAAUCAGUGUUGAUGCUUACCCGGGGACGGAACACGUAUUUCAAAAGAAAGGUUUUGGAUUCACUCUUCAUCAUUUGCAGUACCCUCCCCCACCACACCAAUGUGAGGAAAAGGUGGAAGGGAGAGAGAAAAAAGGGGGGUGGGUAGCAAAUGUAGAUGGAUAAUUGAGCAUGCUCUGGCCCUGUUGAAAUUUCAUUUGUGUGCAGAAAAAUAAAAGCUGUCUGAAAAUACGCAUCAUACUCCAAGGUCAUCAAAGAACAGCAACAACCAGAAAUAGCCAGAGCAGCAAAAGAGAGUAUAUAUAUUUUUUGUCUCCCUGUGUUCUUUCCUUUCCCUUGCCACCCUUUCUUUAUGAAGAAAAUGUAUCUAUUUUUAAAGGUGUAUCUUUUUAGAGAGCAGACUGAGGGUUGGUGGAGGGAGGUGGGUGGGGGAUGGGUUACAUGGGUGAUGGCCACUAAGGAGGGCACUUGUUGGGAUGAGCCCUGGGUGUAGUAUGUAAGUGUUGAAUCACCGAAUUCGACUCCAGAAACCAAUAUUGCACUGUUGUUUUUUUUUUUUAAUAUUUAUAUUUUAGAGAGAGAGAGAGGGACAGAGAGUGUGUGAGAGAGAGUGGCAGAGAGAGAGGGAGACACAGAAUCCGAAACGGGCUCCAGGCUCCGAGCCGUCAUCACAGAGCCCAACGCGGGGCUCGAACCCACAAACUGUGAGAUCAUGACCUGAGCUGAGGUCAGCCACUUAACCGACUGAGUCACCCAGGUGCCCCACACUGUAUGUUAACUAACUGGAAUUUAAAUAAGAAUUUGAAAAGCAAAACAAACAAACAAACAAAUAAGUAAAAUAAAGGUGUAUCUUUUACCCAUUUAUCCCAGAAGCUCCUCUUUGCAAUUUCAUGGUAAACUUGCAAUGGAACAUCAUCCUGAGUGGAAAUAUUUCUCAACAUCAGGUUAGUUUUGUUUUAUAUUUUAAUGAUACAUGUGAGCAUGCACACAUGCUUCACAAGCUUUGGAUGUAACUAAAAAAUUCUUUUUUGUGUUCUUUAGUAAAUUUAGAAAGAUUUCUUCACAUUGAUCUUGUAUAUUUGUUAGAAUCAUUCCUUAAUAUUUUAUUUUAUUUGAACUAGAAAAUCAAAUCAUAUUCUUAAUUAUGGGAACUCAACAUUCAAAAGACAUUGAUGGUUCCCAAAUUUAUUUAUACAUUUAACAAAAUCUCAAUAAAUAUGUUAAUAGAUUUGGGAGGGUGGUGUUUGCUGGAAGGAGGGACCCACAAACUGAUUUUAAAGUCUAUGUGGAUGAUAUGUGGCUAUUCUCUGAUGAUGUUUUUUCCCCAGUGACACACAUAAGCAGGAAACAUUUACUUCUCUGACACCAUAUACUUUGGGAAAAGAGGCCUCCUUCUUAGGAAUAUUUAUGGUUCAUAAUCUUCCUAUAUACUUCUAUCAUCAUCCUUGGUGAAUUCAACAUCUAGGUUAAUGAUCUCCUCAAAACAUAUUUGCAUCCAUCUUCCUCUUCAACCUUAGUAAUGUCUAAAUGACUAUUAUUAUUAGCCAUUAAAUUGGUUUCUCUACUGCCUUAUUUUGUCUUCUUUAGUCCUUCAUUCUUCACACAUCAUCUUGAGUAUUCCUUUUAUAUCCCAAACAGAUCAUAUGAAUGCCCCUCUUGAAAUUUUUACAGGAUUAUGCUUAAUAUUACUUAUAAUAAUAUUUAAUUUUGUUCCUUAUUUUAAACAAGCCUUGCAAGGCCUUGAAAUUCCAAACUCUCAAAUUCACCUGAUGACUCUUAGUGGCUCUCCAUUCUCUUGACUUUUUUCUUGUCUUAAAUCCCUCUGACAUUCUCUGGAUUGUGUCAUGUUUUCUUCCCGUUUAAAGAUCUUUACAAUAUUUUUUCUCUCUUUCUCAUGCUCUCUCUCUGAAAUACAGAAUAUAGUUCCCCAAUUUUCCCAAUAUAUUGAUAGUAAUAUAGUUAUCGUUCUCAUCCUUCAACUUAAAUAUGAACACUUAGGAAAGAACUUCACUCAUCACCCUAAUAAUACCUUGUUAAUUUAUUGUUUUAUUCUGUUGUAAACUGCUAUAAGACAGAGGCACUAUAUUACUAUUUUUCAUAAAUAACUAUAUCCUUUAAUACUAAGAGGGAAUGAAAGAUAUAUAUAUAUAUAUAUACACACAUAGGAUAUCUGUAUCUCCUAAGUUCAUAUGCUACAAUGAAAAUAAGCCCCAAAUCAAAUUCUGUCAUAUACCUAUUAUCAAUUAGCAAAACCCAAACAAAUAAAAUCCAAAACAAUUUAACAUUCAAAAAAUAAAUAAAAAAUAAAGUCUAUGUGGAAAAAUUAUUCUAAAGUUUAUGUAUAACAUUAAUAUUAUUUCUUAAUGGGGCACCUGGGUGCCUCAGUUGGUUAAGUGUGUUGGACUUUGGCUCAGGUCAUGAUCUUGCAGUGUGUGGGUUCGAGCCCCGUGUGGCACUCAGUGCUGACAGAUCAGAGCUUGGAGCCUACUUCGAAUUCUGUGUCUCCCUCUCUGCCCCUCUCCUGCUCAUGCUGUAUUUCUGUCUCUCUCUCUCUCUCUAAAAUAAAUAAUAAAUAAAUAAAUAAAUAAAUAAAUAAGUAAGUAAGUAAAUAAAUAAUAAAUAUUUCUUUAUUUUAUUUUUAUUAAAAAUUUUUUUUAAUGUUUUAGUUUAUUUUUUGAGACAGAGAGAGACAGCACGAGUGGGGGAGGAGCAGAGAGAGAGGGAGACACAGAAUCCGAAGCAGGCUCCAGGCUCCGAGCUGUCAGCACAGAGCCCGAGGUGGGGCUCGAACCGACAAACUGUGAGACCACGACCCGAGCCAAAGUCGGACGCCCAACCGACUGAGCCACCCAGGUGCCCCAGAAAUAAGUAUUUCUUAAAUGUUUAUUAAUUUUGAGAGAGACAGAGAGCAUGCAUAAGCAUGUGAGUGGGGGAGGGGCAGAGAGACAGGGAGACAGAGAAUCCCAAGCAGGCUCCAUGCUGUCAAUGCAGAGCCCCACGAAGCGCUGGAACUCACAAACUGUGAGAUCAUGACCUGAGCUGAAAUCACGAGUCGGACACUUAACGGACUGAGCCACCCAGGCGCCCCUCUAUAAAAAAUUAUUAAACAUUGGAAAGAAAAACAUUUGAAAAGGAAGAAUGAUAAGGGAGACUUAUUGUGUUGGAUACGAAAAUAUAUCAUGAAGCUACAGCAAAUAGUGUUGAGUUUAGUCUCGAGUAAACAGAUGAAUGAAAAGAACAACAAAGUCCAUAAGUAGACCCAAAGAUGCCCGGGAAUUUAAUAUUUAAUGCAGGUGGCAUCUCAAAACAGUGAGGAAAAGAUGGAUUGUUCAGUCAUUGGUGUGGGAAAAAUGGCUAGAUAGCUGAAACACCAAUUAUUAGCACGCCUUAGCUGCUAUUGGCCCGCUUAGACUACAUGUUGCAAGAAAGCAAUGACGAGUUCUCACACAGGUGCAAAAAGGAAAAACAAUAGGCACAAAAAUUCCGACUAGAAGAUGUAACAUACUUCCACCUCUAACUAGUAACUAAUUCCUACCUCUAACUGGUAAAAUAUAAAAGUGAGAUGGACCUUCAGUGAUUAGGACCAAUUAUAGCUAAGACUCAUGGCUAGAAACAAGUCAAGGUAGGGCCAUCAAACCUGUUGCUUAAAGAGCUGGAAUGAUUAAGGUGCUUCUAAGUCAAUACUCUCCUUUGAAAAAGUGCUCAGGGAAAAGAGGCCAAAGGUGUGCCUCUCCCUCUGAAGCCCGAUUCCCUCAAGGUUAUCUGUCUGGAAAAGAAUUGGGCGCAUAACUACUGGCACUAAAAGUUCUGCAUCCAGUUCCAUUGUGUGUGGGGGAGGGGCAGGGGGCGAGUUUUCCACAGAAAUCCAAGCAAUUCUUGGACACCAGCUGGGUGUCCCAGAAUUUAACUCAAUUCUGACACGGUCUAUCUGGAGAUAGGGUCGGGUUCCAUAGGUUAAGGGCUAGUCUCACAAGACUGUCCCCCACACCCCCCACUUCAGUUGCAACCCCAUGUUGUUACCUAUACUGCUGACCGACUGGCCAUAAAUCAGAGGUUCCCAUGACUUCCUCCUUGGGUUUGCUCAAUUUGCUGGAGUGGCUCGUAAAACUCAGAGAAACAUUUUACUUAUGAGAUUACCAGUUUAUUAUAAAAGGAUAUUACUCAGGAAUCAGAUGAAUCAGAUGCAUGGAACAAGGCUGGGGAGAGGGCUGGAGCUUCUGUUCCCUCUCCAAGUGUGCCACUUUUCCCAAAUCGCCACAUGGGUACCAACCUGGAAGCCCUCUGAAACCCGUCCUUAUGGAUUUUUAUGUCGGUUUCGUUACACGGGCAUGGUUGAUGGAAUCACUGGCCAUUGGCGACGGAUUCAAGCACCUCCAGCACCAAUCUCUUCCCCCGGGAGGGAGGUCAGGGCGGUGGGGUUAAAAGUUCUAAUCCUUUAACCACUCAGCUGGUUCUCCUGGCAGCCAGCCUCCCCCACCCCGCAUCCUAGUGCUAAACAAAAAUCAUCUCGUUAACAUGAGACAUUUUUACUGCAUUCAUUACUUAGGAAAUUCCAAGGGUUUUAGGAGCUCUUUGCCAGCACAGGGAAAAGGCCAAAUACAUGUUUCUUCUUAUGAAUCAUAUCACAGGCACCUAGAGCUAACUGGAAUAAGAUAGGUAAAAAGCCAAGUAUAUUUUAAAGAGGCUUGCCCUGUCAGGAGAGCCACUGUUGCACUAAAAGGGAUUCUAACUUCUUUGCCUAAAGCCACAAGCUUGGUUAGCACGUUAUCUGCCAUCCAAGUUCAUAAAAUGUUUCACUGCAUUACAUACACAGCCUCCGUUCUUUUCCAAUAAAUUUCCUUGCUUCCCAUCAGCAGACCAGAGGCUAAUGCCAUAUAUUUUCAGAUCUCUCUUAUGAGAGCUUUUGCCCCACUCUUAGGACCAAUUUCUGUUGUAACUUUAGCUAAUUGACAUUGUAGUAACAAUUUCAGAAUUUCAAUUGCUUGACACAGACAGGAAAAAGGUUUAUGGUUUGAGCAUAUAACACAUUUUAAACAAAUACAAUCCACCGCAUCUAUUAAUGGAACUUUAUACUGCUUCUAAUUUCCACAUAUUAGAAAUAAUUCUGCACCGGGCAUCUUUGUGUGGAUAUCAUUUUGCACAUGGGCAAGCAUAUCUGUAGCUUACAUUUCUGGAGAUACAGGCAUGCUUUGGAGAUACUGCCAGUCUGGUUCCUUACCAACGCAAUAAAGUGAAUAGAGCAAUAAAGCAAAUCAAACAAACAUUUUGGUUUCCCAGUGCAUAUAAAAGUUAUGUUUACACUGUAUGGUGGUCUAGUAAGUGUGCAGUAACAUUAGGUAUACAAAGACAAUGCACAUACCUUAGUUAACAAGCAGUUUAUUGCUAAAGAUUGCCAAUCAUCAUCUGAACUUUCAGCGAGCUAUAAUCACAGAUCGCGAAUCACCGUAACAAAUGCAGUAACAAUGAAAAAGUUUGACCUAUUGUGAGAACUGCCAAAAUGUGACAGAGAGACAUGAAAUGGACAAAUGCUGUUGGAAGAAUGGCACUGAUAGAUUUGCUUGACUCAGGGUCGCCACAAGUCUUCAGUUUAUAAAAAAAAAGAAACACAUUAUCUGUGGAGCACAACCAAGUGAGAUGCAUUAACGGAAGUCUGCCUGUAGACCUGCUAAGCCAAGGGACAAGCACGUUUUAAAAUUUGAUACUGACUUGCUAGUUUACCCACCCACCAGCUGCAUAUGAGACUACCUGUUUCUUCCCACCUGCACAAAUGUUAUCAUUUCUGCUGAAUUUUUUCUCACCUGAGAGGUGAAACAUCACUUUUCAUCCUUUUAAUAUAUUUUAGAACUAUUUGUAUUCUUUUUUUUGGCUUAUUCCUGUUGGCCCAUUUGUGUCCUUGGGCAUGUUUUUCUCUUUUAGUGUUUAUUUAUUUAUUUUGAGAGAGAGAGAGAGAGAGAGAGAAAGCAAGAGGGGAGGAGGGGCAGAGAGAGACUCCCAAGCAGGCUCCAUGCCACGAGCUCAGAGCCCGACAUGGGACUUGAACUCACGAACCAUGCGAUCAUGACUUGAGCCAAAAUCAAGAUAGCUGCCUAACCUACUGAGCCACCCACAAGCCCCUGGUGUGUCUUUUUCUUAUUGAUUUAUAAGGACUACUUACAUAUUCAAGAAAAAGUCAUUUCUGAUAUAAAUCAAAAAUAUUUUUCUAGGUACUUUAUGUUUGGAUGCUGUUCAUUGUAUUUUUUGCCAAGAAGAAUUCCCUUUUUAUUGUGUGUGUGUGUGUGUGUGUGUGUGUGUGUGUGUUUGUGAUGCCUGAAUUAUGGUCUCUCUUUACAAAAUGCCUUAAUCAUAAAUGAACAUAUUAUUUAAAGAAUACAAAGAAAAUAACCUUUUUUUGUUUUCUUCUAGUAUUUGUAGUUUUAUAUUUUGUUUUAAAAUUUGUAAAACAGAUGAAAUUAAUUUUGAUGUGAGGGGUUAGGGAGGGAUACGUUCAAUCUCUACUUGGUAACAAUAGUGAGUGCCUUUGUAGGUGACGAUUUGUUGGCUGUAGAACAAGGCAUUGCAGGAGACUAAUUUUUCAAUGAAUAGAGUUUUGUAAUUUUGACUUUUGUACCCCAUUCGUGUGAAAUCUACCAAAACUUCACUGAAAUAAGUAAAUUCUUUAUUGUUAUGAAACAGGAACAGGAAGGUGAGCAGCCCCUACCCAACUCCACUUUAAUAUCUCCCUACAGCCAUAUGGAAACCAUGCUGUCAGAUCUUGUCAUUUUUCAAAAGAAGCUGUAAUCUGGAUUUUCAUGUGAAAUCCCCUGUUGUUUGAAAUGUUAGCAACUAAUUCAGAGUUUUAAGAACAUUGCAUGGGCCAAGCAAAACACAUAUGGAGGCCAGAUGGGGCCCACAGGGUGACAGUUUGGGAAUUGCGGUCUAGGCAUUUAUUCCUCUCACCCUUGGAGAUUCAUUUAAGUGACUUUUCUAUGGGCUACUAUAACGUAGUGUGCUCAGCCCCUAUCAUGAUGUAUUUUAACUGAUUGUUGCUGGUCUAGUCUUUCUACUAAGCUACAAGAUCCUUGAAGGCAAUGUAUAUAGAUUUUGAGGUCCCCAUGGCCUAGCAGUCUUGUACCUAGUCAAUAUUUAAUAAGAUAGCUGAAUGAAUGAAUGAAUGAAUGAAUGAAUUCCACCACAAGCAGGAUCCCUGCCAAGCAUCUGAACAAAGUAACUCAGGGUCUCAGGGGUUACCUGAUUGAGAUCACUCCUUCUUUCUACUCCCUUCUGGCCAAGUCCCAGUCCAUCCUCAAGGCAACUGAACCUCUGUACCCUACAGUGAUUUUAUGAACAGGUGGCCUCUUCUAACAUGCAAAUCUUGGCCACUAGAUGUCUCCCUUUGCUUAAAGGACAUUCCGAAACCCUGGGGUCAACUGGCGGUUUGCUAAACAGAAACCAUACUUCCGCAAAAAAUAGAAUGUCUUCAUCUCAGUCCGCCUCUUCAGAUGUUUGUCCUCAUGAGGAAGUUGAGUACAGCCACAAUGACAAAGAAAAAAUGCCCAGGGACAGAAUCGGAUUUAUUUUGUUCUGGUAGAGCUUCUCACCCACAGGAUCUCUCCCUUGGGAGACGGAGUGACAGUCUGUUGGGUUUUAGCUUCUAAUCCAGCAGACUCCUGACUGUUGUUUGGGAGCCUUGUUUGUGUUACUUUUGUCUGGCGCUAUAGGCCAGUGGAGAAAUGCACAUUCCUGUUAAAGGUCUCGUGUUCUAGAACCUGCAUGGUCAAAGCAGGAUUCUUGUAAACUGCAUCAGAUUGAGCAUUUCCACUGAGGCUGCCCCGACCCGCGGAUGGAUUUUUCCACAUCACGUUGAGUGUAAGUGGAUGGGCUCUGUUGCCUGUGGCUGCACUGUCCCCGCCACACCGGUUGGGUCCCUUGAGUCUAGAGAGAAGGCUGCUUGAUGUUGUGUAAUUCUCAUUUUAAAGACAGGCAGAGGGAAAAAGAAGCAAAGUUCAUGAUUUUCAUAGUCAGUGUUAUCUCUGGCAUUCAAACCCUGUAAGCUCUGAACUGAUGACAGGCAGUGGGGGAAUUCUGCUUGGCCUUGCUAAGUUUGUCCAGGGCUUUGAAUUUAGGGACACGUGAAGCUUACUCGCUGAAUGAAAUGGAAACGUGGAUUCUCUCCGGGGGCUUUGGUGGCCCUUCAUUUUACUAUGAAAGGUUCAGCUGAUAAGAAUGCUAUGUCUCAUUAGUGCCUAAGACCAUAAUGUUGCCUUGGUCUUUUCUUUGGUUAUUUUGGAAAGGUCGGACACUUCUGUUUGUAUUUCUCACCUGCCUUUUCUCGCAGGGUGCCUUGGUGGCUCAGUUGGUUAAGCGCUCAACUCUUGAUCUCUGCUGAGGUCAUGAUCUCAUGUUGCGUGAGUUCGAGCCCCAUAUCAGGCUCCACACUGACAGUGCAUUGCCUGCUUGGGGUUUUCUCUCCCAUUCUUUCUCUGCCCCUCCACCAUGCACUCUGUGUCUCUCAAAAUGAAUAAAUAAGCUUAAAAAAUUCACAACAACAAAAAAGAGGAACACAGACUGAAGGCAGGCCCAUCAUUUACUUACCUGCUCUGUCCCCCCAUUUCCUCACCUAUAAAAGGGGAAUGAUGGUGGGAACUGCCUCGCGGGUUGCUGGGAGUAUAAAAGCACUUGGAAACUGCUCAGAACACUACUUGGAACAUAGUAAGUGCUUAGUAAAUGGGGGCUGUUACUACGUGCUUGACUGUUGAUCUCUUCUCUGAUUUUCUGCCCAGGCCAGUGUUCAUGUGUAUAGAUUGCUACACUUGUCUGUGAUAUGGAUGGGAAAAGAUUUCCUACAGUUUUGUGAGCUCUCCGUUUGUUUAUUUGAGUAUACCUUAUAUUCAAGCUAAGUAGCAUUACAAUGAUUAAAUACCACCCCCAAACAGUUUCUCAUAAGCCCCUUUGACUAAGCUUUAUCCUCAAAUAACUUAAUAACUCCCAUCUCUCUUUAUUUUUUAAGCCCUGGUGUUGAGUGUUAAAAGACUAUAUCAGUUUUGAUAAAAUCUUUAUUAGUUAGGAAAACCUUCUCACUAUAAUGUACAUUUUACACUCAACUCUUCUCUUUACUGUUCCUUUCAGGUUUGUGUGUGUGUUUUUUUUUUUAAUUAUACUUGAAAUAUUUCUUAUUGCAUUUAAUCAUUUCACAGUGUGGAAUAAAGCCACCUGAAACAGCUCAGGGCCUAUCACACCCUCGAGUCACCAUAUCAUUCAAGGCGACCAACUGUGUUUACAGCCCCUGGAUUAGAGCUUCUCUAAGACCAAGGGCAGAGACCUCCCAGCACCUCUGAAGGAUAAACACUGCCCUCCAGGAUCCUCUCCAGCUCACCUGCUGACCACAUUCAGAUAGUGCCUCACACCCGGUGAUAAUGCGUGAUAAGAUUUAGAAAACUAGUUCCAAUAACGAGAGUCUGUUCGCUUUGUCCUUUCUCCGGGGCCUCAGGGUUGUUGCUAUUUAUUGCUGUGACUCUACUCUUUUACCAGGAAAGCAAGCCAUCAGACUGCCCAGGAAACCAACGCAAACAGAGAGAUGAUUUGACAGGGUUCAAAGGGCUUCUUCGGCCCCCUGGUCUUCCUCCUUGUUCUCUUGGGCAUCUAUCUAUAGGAUGCCAGGGCUGGGGGCUGGUUUAGUCAAGGAAGUUCUGUGGUCCAGAUGAGCAGACGAUAUAAAAUAUACCAGAGGGACCAAAACACAUUCGUUUAGCUGCCUUUGUAUGCUCAGGUGGACACCUUGUACCUGCUUCACAGGGGAGUGUGUGCGAUUUUGCAGCCAGAGGAGAGUUGCCGUUGUACCAGAGGGGCAAGCCUUCCUCAACUCUGCCUUCCCAGAAGACCAGCUCUCCUUGGGCUCAGAAGAAUGAUAUGUCACCAUGCUGCCACAGUGUGCAAAAACCCGUGUUACUCUCUUUUGCUUUCUGUCCUCCGCAGGGACUCCGGAGCCCUAUAACCUAACCAGGAAGUAUCGAAUUCAGCCUCGCAUGUGUUAGUAGAUGGUUAGGAGGAAACUAGAAGGGGUGAGUAAGUGGCUUACUGGUGAGUCACCCAUCAGUAAUUCAAAAGCACACCCUAUUUGUGAAACAACCCAAAUAUUGGGCAUACUAGGAUCUCCUUCCAUUAAAUGCAGAAUUAACAAACAAUUAAAUAUAUUCAUUUGUUUGGAUUCAGAUUUUCUCCAAAACCAAUCUACUCAAGGAAUUAUUGGUGUCUAUUGGGUGCCUAAUUUUCUACUAUCUGCUAAAGUGUUUUCGGUCUAAGAAGAAACUAUAGGGAUCCCUUUGGUUCCAAGGGCCACAUGCCAGCCCCUAGGAAGUUGCUGGGCUUUGCAACACGAUGAGCUGGAGGUCACUAACAGACCUUCUAUCUGAGCUUCAAGCCCUCCCCCAUUAAGCUCCAGAGUGAGUGGCCAUUUUGUCUGUCUUACUCCUUCGCCUGACCCCCUUCCAAUUCCAUGGUCACUUUCCUCCCUAAGUAAUUAAUAGACUAUUAGCACCAUUUUAUAAACACAUUCCCACUGCGGUGUCAGUGACUUCUGUGCUCCUACAUGCACUUGCAUUUUAACACAGACAAUAGGAAACAAAUAGCACUGAACUGAAAAGAUGGCAUUUAAUCCUAGAACUUCAGACAUCAGAUCAACUGAGUGAGGACCUUCUGGAAGCCCUCGACCUUCUGUACUGAAAGGAAAUUUGGUCUCCAUUUGCAAUUGGUGGAUCUGGAAAAUGCGCCAAACCCUGCAGAAAGGGCACAGCAGAGAGUGACGUUGACUUGAUUAGACUACGAGAUCAGCUCUAUUUUGCCCAGGCUGGUGGCCGACAAAGGAGGGAUGGCUCAUGCCUUUGAACAGUUAGGGAUUGUCAAGUCGUCUUUGUUCUCUUGAUAACUUCUCCACUGGACCAGACUUAGACCUGAUCAUGAAAAAUUAUGCUAUAGACCAAGUGGCUCAAUUGGUAUUGGAAACAAGAAGGUCACAUUGUGUUUAGGCCUUCUUGACACCAAAGGUCUUCAGCAUGAAAUUAUGAGCUCCAAUUUUAUUCAGAGAAUUGUUCACUCUAAAAGAGAUAUUUCUAUUAGAAUCCAGUGCUCUGAAGAUCAUUUUCUCCUUCUGAAGAAGAUGAAUGUUUUCUCUUCUGUGAUGAGAACAAUGUACCUGAUUGACUUCCCCUUUUCUUGAAUGCUAGGAAGCUCUUCUCCUAAAGUUAAGCUUCAAAUUUAUAAAAUAGUGUAGAUACCUCAUAGGUUUCUAUUUGCAUUCUUUUUCUUCAUUGACACUCUAUAGCUUCCCUUUCUAUCAUUUGUGUAGUGUACAUAGAACUUUCAUAGUUCACGUUUCCUUAUUUCUAGUCCAAUAUAAUGUUUUUAAAUGCAUUGACAUGGUGAGCCACCUCAAGUCACUUGCAGAAUAUAAGGGUGUUAGGGGCACCUGGGUGGCUCAGUCAGUUAAACGUCUGACAUGCGAUUUCAGCUCAGGUUAUGAUCUCGCAGUUUGUGAGUUUAAGCCCCACAUCAGACUCUGUGCUGAGAGUGCUGAACCUGCUUGGGAUUUUCUCUCUCUCCCUCUCUCUCUGCCGCUCCCCUGCUUGUGCUGUCUUUCUCUCAAAAAUUAAUAAAUAAAC
rnacentral:lncRNA from 1 species